AUCAUCGCGGUCGCAUGUGACGAAAAGGAUGUGGUGUGUGCUACCUCUAGAGCACUGAGUUGGUUUUCCCUUGAAGAGGGAAGGGUGAUGCAGCAAAGUAGCAUAAGUAUUUCGCUCAGUUUUUGAGAACCAAGGUAUCAAUCCAGUAGGAGGCCACACGCAAGUCCCUCGUACCUACACAAACAAAUAAGAACCUUGCAACCAACGCGAUAAAGGGGUUGUCAAUCCCUUCACGACCACUUGCAAAAGUGAGAUCUGAUAGAGAUGAUAAGAUAAUAUUUUUGGUAUAUGAUAAAGAUUAAAAGUAAAGAUUGCAAAAUAAAUGGUGCCAGAAAUAGCUCGUUGACGGGAGAUUAAUAUGAUGGAAAAUAGACCCGGGGGCCAUGGGUUUCACUACUGGCUUCUCUCAAGAUAGCAUAAGUAUUAUGGUGGGUGAAAAAAUUACUAUCGAGCAAUUGAUAUAAAAGUGCAUAAUUAUGAGAAUAUCUAGGCAUGAUCAUGUAUAUAGGCAUCACGCCCGUGACAAGUAGACCGACUCCUGCCUGCAUCUACUACUAUUACUCCACACAUCGACCGGUAUCCAGCAUGCAUCUAGAGUAUUAAGUUCAUAAGAACAGAGUAACGCAUUAGGUAAGAUGGCAUGAUGUAGAGGGAUAAACUCAUGCAAUAUGAUAUAAACCCCAUCUUUUUAUCCUUGAUAGCAACAAUACAAUAUGUGUCGUUUCCCCUACUUUCACUGGGAUCGAGCACCACAUGAUUGAACCCAAAGCUAAGCACUUCUCCCAUUGCAAGAAAGAUCAAUCUAGUAGGCCAAACCAAACUGAUAAUUCGAAGAGACUUGCAAAGAUAACCAAUCAUACAUAAAAAAAUUCAGAGAAGAAUCAAAUAUUGUUCAUAGAUAAUCUGGAUCAUAAACCCACAAUUCAUCGGAUCUCGACAAACACACCACAAAAAGAGUUACAUCAAAUAGAUCUCCAAGAAGAUCGAGGAGAACUUUGUAUUGGGAUCCAAAGAGAGAGAAGAAGCCAUCUAGCUAAUAACUAUGGACCCGAAGGUCUGUGGUAAACUACUCACACAUCAUCGGAGAGGCUAUGGUGUUGAUGUAGAAGCCCUCCGUGAUCGAUGCCCCCUCCGGCGGAGCUCCGGAACAGGCCCCAAGAUGGGAUCUCAUGGGUACAGAAGGUUGCGGCGGUGGAAUUAGGUUUUGGCUCCGUAUCUGGUAGUUUGGGGGUACGUAGGUAUAUAUAGGAGGAAGAAGUAGGUCGGUGGAGCCACGAGGGGCCCACGAGGGUGGAGGGCGCGCCCAGGGGGGUAGGCGCGCCCCUUGCCUCGUGGCCUCCUCAUAUGUUUCUUGACGUCCACUCCAAGUCCUCUGGAUCACGUUUGUUCCAAAAAUCACGCUCCCGAAGGUUUCAUUCCGUUUGGACUCCGUUUGAUAUUCUUUUUUUGCGAAACACUGAAAUAGGCAAAAAAACAGCAAUUUUCACUGGGCCUUGGGCUAAUAGGUUAGUCCCAAAAAUAAUAUAAAAGUGUAUAAAUAAGCCCAUUAAACAUCCAAAACAUAAUAUAUAAUAGCAUGGAGCUAUCAAAAAUUAUAGAUACGUUGGAGACGUAUCAAGCAUCCCCAAGCUUAAUUCCUACUCGUCCUCGAGUAUGUAAAUGAUAAAAACAUAAUUUUUGAUGUGGAAUGCUACUUAGCAUAUUCUUCAAUGUAUUUCUCUUUAUUGUGGCAUGAAUGUUCAGAUCCGAAAGAUUCAAUAUAAAAGUUUAAUAUUGACAUAAAAAUAAUAAUACUUCAAGCAUACUAACAAAGCAAUUAUGUCUUCUCAAAAUAACAUGGCCAAAGAAAGUUCAUCCCUACAAAAUCAUAUAGUUUGGUCAUUCUUCAUUUUUGUCACACAAGAUGCUGUCAUCUUGCACACCCCCGAUGACAAGCCAAGCGAUUGUUUCAUACUUUAGUAAUCUCAAACUUUUUUCAACUUUCACGCAAUACAUGAGCAUGAGCCAUGGAUAUAGCACUAUGGGUGGAAUAGAAUAUGAUGAUGGGGGCUGUGUGGAGAAGACAAAAAGGGAGAAAAUCUCACAUUGACGCAGCUAAUCAACAGGCUAGGGAGAUGCCCAUCAAUUGAUGUCAAUGCAAGGAGUAGGGAUUGCCAUGCAACAGAUGCACUAGAGCUAUAAAUGUAUGAAAGCUCAACAAAAGAAACUAAGUGGGUGUGCAUCCAACUUGCGUGCUCAUGAAUACCUAGGGCAUUUGAGGAAGCCCGUCAUUGGAAUAUACAAGCCAAGUUCUAUAAUGAAAAAUUCCCACUAGUAUAUGAAGUGACAAAACAAGAGACUCUCUAUCAUAAAGAUCAUGGUGCUACUUUGAAGCACAAGUGUGGAAAAAGGAUAGUAGCAUUGUCCCUUUUUAUUUCUCUCUUUUUUUCUUUUUUUUGGGCCUUUCUUUUUUGGGCCUUUCUCUCUCUUUUUUUAUUUGGGACAAUGCUCUAUUAAUGAUGAUCAUCACACUUCUAUUUAUUUACAACUCAAUGAUUACAACUCGAUACUAGAACAAAAUAUGACUCUAUAUGAAUGCCUCCGGCGGUGUACCGGGAUGGGCAAUGAAUCAAGAGUGACAUGUAUGAAACAAUAUGCAUGGUGGCUUUGCCACUAAUACGAUGUCAAGUACAUUAUCAUGCAAGGCAAUAUGACAAUGAUGAGGCGUGUCAUAAUAAACGGAAUGGUGGAAAGUUGUAUGGCAAUAUAUCUCAGAAUGGCUAUGGAAAUGCCAUAAUAGGUAGGUAUGGUGGCUGUUUUGAGGAAUAUAUAAGGAGGUUUAUGUGUGAUAGAGCGUAUCGUAUCAUGGGGUUUGGAUGCACCGGCGAAGUUUGCACCAACUCUCAAGGUGAGAAAGGGCAAUGCACGGUACCGAAGAGGCUAGCAAUGAUGGAAGGUUGAGAGUGCGUAUAAUCCAUGGACUCAACAUUAGUCAUAAAGAACUCACAUACUUAUUGCAAAAAUCUACAAUUCAUCAAAAACCAAGCACUACACGCAUGCUCCUAGGGGGAUAGAUUAGUAGGAAAAGACCAUCGCUCGUCCCCGACCGCCACUCAUAAGGAUGACAAUCUAAGAACACCUCAUGUUUCAAAUUUGUUACACAACGUUUACCAUACGUGCAUGAUACGGGACUUGCAAAUUUCAACAGAAGUAUUUCUCAAAUUCACAACUACUCAACUAGCACAACUUUAAUAUUACCACCUUUAUAUCUCAAAACAACUAUCAAGUAUCAAACUUCUCUUAGUAUUCAAUGCACUUAAAAGUUUUUAUCUUGGAUGCCUAUCAUAUUAGGACUAAUUUUAUAACCAAAGAAAAUUACCAUGCUGUUAUAAAGGACUCCCAAAAUAAUAUAAGUGAAGCAUGAGAGAUCAAUAAUUUCUAUAAAAUAUAACCACCACCGUGCUCUAAAAGAUAUAAGUGAAGCACUAGAGCAAAAUUGUUUAACUCAAAAGAUAUAAGUGAAGCACAUAGAGUAUUCUAAUAAAUUCCGAAUAAUGUGUGUCUCUCUCAAAAGGUGUGUACAGCAAGGAUGAUUGUGGUGAACUAAAAAUCAAAGACUCAAAUCAUACAAGAUGCUCCAAGCAAAACACAUAUCAUGUGGUGAAUAAAAAUAUAGCUCCAAGUAAAGUUACCGAUGGACGAAGACAAAAGAGGGGAUGCCUUCCGGGGCAUCCCCAAGCUUAGGCUUUUUCGGUUUUCCUUAGAUUUUACCUUGGGGUGCCUUGGGCAUCCCAAAUCUUAGGCUCUUGCCACUCCUUGUUCCAUAAUCCAUCAAAUCUUUACCCAAAACUUGAAAACUUCACAACACAAAACUUAACAGAAAAUAUCGUGAGCUCCGUUCGCGAAAGAAAAAAAUAUGCCACUUCAAGGUACUGUAAUGAACUCAUUCUUUAUUUAUAUUGGUGUUAAAUCUACUGUAUUCCAACUUUUCUAUGGUUCAUAAACUCCAUUACUAGCCAUAGAUUCAUCAAAAUAAGCAAACAACAUGUGAAAAACAGAAUCUGUCAAAAACAGAACAGUCUGUAGUAAUCUGUAACUAACACAAACUUCUGGAACUCUAAAAAUUCUAAAAUAAAUUGUUGGACUUGAGGAAUUUAUCUAUUAAUCAUCUGCAAAAAAGAAUCAACUGAAUAGCACUCUCCAGUAAAAAGUUGUAGCUAAUCUCGUGAGGCUAAAGUUUCUGAUUUUUACAGCAAGAUCGCAAAGACUUUCCCCAAGUCUUCCCAAAGGUUAUACUUGGCACAAACACUAAUUAAAACACAAAACCACAUCUAAACAUAAGCUAGAUGGAUUAUUUAUUCCUAAACAGAACCAAAAAGCAAAAAAACUAAAAUAAAGUUGGGUUGCCUCCCAACAAGCGCUAUCGUUUAACGCCCCUAGCUAGGCAUAAAGGCAAGGAUAGAUGUAGGUAUCGCCAUCUUUGGGAUGCAAUCCAUAAGUGGCUCUCAUGAUAGAUUCAUAAGGUAAUUUUAUUUUAUUUCUAGGAAAGUGUUCCAUGCCUUUCCUUAACGGAAAUUGGAAUCUAAUAUUUCCUUCCUUCAUAUCAAUAAUUGCACCAAUCGUUCUAAGGAAAGGUCUACCAAGAAUAAUAGGACAUGAAGGAUUGCAAUCUAUAUCAAGAACAAUGAAAUCUACGGGCACAUAAUUCCUAUUUGCAACAAUAAGAACAUCAUUAAUUCUUCCCAUAGGUUUCUUAAUGGUGGAAUCCGCAAGGUGGAAGUUUAAAGAACCAUCAUCAAAUUCACGGAAACCUAGCAAAUCACACAAAGUUUUUGGAAUUGUGGAAACACUAGCACCCAAAUCACACAAAGCAUAGCAUUCAUGAUCCUUAAUUUUAAUUUUAAUAGUAGGUUCCCACUCAUCAUAAAGUUUUCUAGGGAUAGAAACUUCCAAUUCAAGCUUUUCUUCAUAAGAUUGCAUUAAAGCAUCAACAUAUGUUUAGUAAAAGCCUUAUUUUGACUAUAAACAUGCGGAGAAUUUAGCAUGGAUUGCAACAGGGAAAUACAAUCUAUUAAAGAAAAAUUAUCAUAAUUAAAUUCCUUGAAAUCCAAGAUAGUGGGUUCAUUGCUAUCCAAAGUUUUGACCUCUUCCAUCCCACUUUUACCAAAUUUUGCAUCAAGAUCUAAAAACUCCGAAUCAUUGGGACGCCUUUUAACUAAAGUUGACUCAUCUCCACUCCCAUCAUUAUCAAGAUUCAUAUUGUGAAAAAGAGAUUUAAUAGGGGACACAUCAAUUACUUUUAGAUCUUCAUCCUUAUUACCCUCCAAAUCUUCUGGUUUAGCGGCCAUCUUAUUGACUAAGGUGGCCUGCUUAUCCGAAAUUUGGGCUAUUAAUUUUUCAAGAUGAGCAAACUGAGAUCUCAAGCCAUAAAAUUCCUUAAGACAUAUCAUCAAGCUCUUUAUUCAUGUACCCCAUAAAGCUUUUUUGUUCUUUAAGCUCAUUUCUAAAGAAAUUAUUAUGGUCAAAUUGCAAAGUCAUAAAGCUUCUGACGUUGUUUUCAAUUUCUUCCAACCUUUUAAGGUAAGGAUCAACGUUUUUAGGCAGAGCCAUUAGGGCAAACAAACAACAAGAAGCAAGCAAAAAAGAGGCGAAUAGAAAGAGAGGGCGAAUAAAACGGCAAGGGUGAAGUGGGGGAGAGGAAAACGAUAGGCAAAUGGCAAAUAAUGUAAUGCGAGGGAUAAGAGUUUGUGAUGGGUACUUGUCAGAUCAUGGGUUCCGGCAAAACCCUUGAGGUUCGAACUCUGGGGUGCGCGCGAAGUUCUUUCCCCCUACCGAUCCACGCCCUAGGUGGCCAAGAUCUCGCGGAUGAACUCAACGAACUCACAACACAAGAGACACAAGAUUUAUACUGGUACGGGCCACCGUUGUGGUGUAAUACCCUACUCCAGUGUGGUGGUGGUGGAUUGCCUCUUGGGCUGAUGAUGAACGGUACAAGGGGAAGAACAACCUCCUGAGGUUGAGGUGUUCCUGUGCUUGGUGUGUGGCUAAGGAUCAGAUGAGAUGCCUCUGAAAUCAGUUCUCCCCUGCGGUGGUGGCUAGUUGUACUUAUAUAGGCCCUGGUCCUCUUCCCAAAUAUUGAGCGGGAAGGGAGCCAACAACGGCCAAUUUGAAAGGGGACAACUAGUAGAGCUUAUCCUAACAAAAGCGGUCUUCGCCUGCAAAAGGCUCUGGUGGUGACACCGCCUUGGGCUCCAUGGUGACCUCUGUCUUGCUGGUCUUGGUCUCCUUGCACCAGUAUGGAAACCUUUGCUUGACGCCUCGGUACUCCGCGCCUGCGCUUGCCUCCUUAGCACCAAAGAGGAAACAAGGCCGCUGCACGCGCUGGCGCCUGCCUGGCGCCCGCCUGAUCUUGAUCGUCAUGGCUCACGUCACGAGAACCUCGUGAGGUUUGCCUUGCCUUGAUCUCUCCGCCCCUCGUGAGCCAACCUGGUGAGGCCGCUCCUGAGGAGGUCUUGUGUCGUCUGCCUCACGAGGCUUGGCCCCUCGCGAGGGUCUUGAAUGCCUUGUUGAUGAAGAUGGGAAGUACAGGCCUGCUAGCACAGCCAUGCCGUGGGCCUCAGGCAGGCAAGUCUGGGGACCCCCGUUCCCAGAACACCGACAGUAGCCCCCGGGCCCAAGGCGCGCUCGGGCUUGGCUUCGAGGCGAAGCCAAAGGUCAAGGGCGGAGUGCCGCGGGCCCCAAAAGCCUGCGGCCUUGGUCGAUGUGUGGCGGUUGAUUGGACGUGGGCGUCUCCGCUUCCCCACGCCGCCUCGGCAACUGCCCGACUUGACAAGUCCAUGUGACAUGCAAGGGAAAACCAUCAUUACCUGUGAUCGUGGGAGGCACCGGUUGGCCUUCUCCUGCUAUAAAUGGGGAGGGGGGCAAAGCCCCCGUCAUCCAUCUCUUCCAAGUCCGCUUGCUUCUUCCUCCAUGCUCCUCUGCUAGCAACAAUGGCGCCAAUCCGAAGGUUCUCCGCCGAGGACAAAGGAAAGGCUCCCCGUGACGAGCCGGGGCCGCUUCCGCCAAAGAAGAGGUCGGUUUACCGCCGCGACGCAGCGGCGAUGCAGGUGGUGACGAGGCCUUGGUGUGAGCGGCCUUCUCCUGGGUAUCCGCUACCCCUGUACGCCCAAGCCGGGGGCUCAGGAGGAAGGAGCGACGAGCGGCGCCGCCCGCGGCACAACCGUGGCCGCCGCGCGAUGGCGAUACACGCCGUCGCCCCUGGAACCCAUGCUGCGGACUCCUCUCGCGAGCUCGUGCUGUGGGCGGCGACGCCCCCAAGCACCUGGAUCUGCUUCCCGCGGUUCUUCUCCGACGUGAUGCCGCCGAGGGGACCCCUCGAGCUCUGGUUGUAGCAUGCUGACUGCGACGCCCCAGCGAUCGGGGCAGAGGUUGAAGCGGUCUCCUCUGGCAAGAUCUUCAUGACCCGCGGCUGGGGUGAGGUUGCGCGGGUUUGGCGUGCUGAGGGCGCCCUCACAAUCCACUUCGACUAUGACGGCGCUUCCAUGCUGUUCUUCAAGGUCUUCGAUGCGGAGGGCCGCCGCCUAGAGUGCUGCCCUGGAGGGGUGCGCCAGGACGACACGCGCCCGGGCUGCGGCACCUCUAGCAGCAGCGACUCUUGGGCGUCCAGCGGUUGUCCCGAGCUCUACGAGACUCCGGAGACUAGCGACGACAACUACGUGCCCCCGAGCUCUCGCCGUGCCCGGAGCAGGGCUGCGGCGUCCAGCCGCCGCCGUCGCUGAUCUGGAUGGGGUUGGCGCCGGCCUCCCGCGGCCCACUGUUGAUGAUGGCGUCGGCCACCGGAGGGUGUAGAUAGGAUUCUCCUAGGUUCUCGUCUUUUGUUCCCUGCGAGGAAUCAAGAAGUACCCCGCGGGGGUGUGUAAAGGGCCUGUAAUGUCCUUUGUUGAUACUACCCUUGUUAUGAAAAUUUGCGAAUGCUUGCUCUGUUUAGGCUCGGUCUCCCCUUUCCAACCUCGCGACGGCUUGUUGCUCUAUGCUGACAGGUCCCGGUCCCCAGGCAAGCUGCGGCCGUUGCUCGUAUGCCAGGUCGCAUGCCGUGGUCAAGGCCAUGAGGUGAGAGGCCCGAGGACAAGUAAGAGCCCCUGAGGCGCGAUGCUCAGGAGGUGCCCUUUAGCGCUCAAGCAGCCAUGGUAAGGUAAGAAAGGGAGGCGACGUUUCCGCGACAGGGCUGCGGCGUGUGUGACCCUUAGGCUCCAGCAAUUAACCAAUCUGAGCGUGAGACCUAUCUUGGCGGUUUGGGGUCGAUUCCUUGCGAUGCUCUGCAUUAAUGCGUAGCUAGGCCAGGCCCGUGUGAGCCUCCCCCUCUUCUCCACGCUCUCCUUUAUGCUCUACGUCCUCAGGUCCCGGCCCUCGAGCGAGCUCAGCCGCCGCUGGUAUGCCAGAUCGCGUGCCGUGGUCAAGGCCAGGGGGUGAGGGCUGGAGAGCCAGUAGGAGCUCCUGAGUCGCGAUGCUCAGGAGCCCCACUUUUAACGCGCAAGCGGAUCGCAUGGGAGAAGAGGGAGCUCGCGGUGCCGCCUGCUGUCAUUCUCAUGAGAUUCCUGCGAGCCAGCACAAGGAGCAACAUAGUUUGCUAUUAUGGUUGCCAGUCCGCCGCCGGUUGCCUCGCGAGGAGACGAAGGCACUGAGGGCCUGGUGAGGUGACGUGCGCGGGGCGUGCCGCGAGCCAGAGCUCGGCCGCUCAGACUUGUCGACGUUGCAGGGACAGACCCCUGCACAAGCGGCGUGCCAGCGUGAGCAGCCCCCGUGGGGGGUGAGAGUCAAACAGGUGAUAAUCAUAAGCAGAUUAAGCACGGGAAGCAUACUGGCUUAGGUAAAUGCAGGGAAGAUACAUGCCACCAGGUCCGGCCCGAGCGGCUUGGGGAUGAUGCAGCCCGAGGGGCGCCCCCAGCAAGGUAAGCUAAAGACAUAAGAGAAAGGGGUACAUGCCACAGGGACGAACCCACGCGGAUGCAGCCCAAGGGGCGCUCCCAGCUAAACAAACUUGGAAAAUAUCACCUGGCUCUGUCGAUGAAGGGGUGUCGGGGCAGCUGAAGGUACGCGGCGAAGGAAUUGCUCCUCACGAGCCACCGGGGCCCUGAGCCUCGGGAGGCUCUGGGGGUCCAGGUGGUUCCCUGAGGAUCGUCUCCAUCUCCGUCAGGAUGGCAUGAUGCCUGGCCUCCUGAGGUACCAGGGCACGCCGCAAGUUGCGCUGAUAGGCGAACGACAUGCUCGGCAGGCCAAAAGGCAUGCGAACUUAGCUGCACGGUGGACCCUCACAGCGGCCCACGCGCGAAGGCCAGAAGGGCUCCUGAGAUGCGGCCCUUUUGAGCCCUAGGACGUCGAUGCAGACGCGCAGCCCGACAUCCUCACCUGGAUGGGGAGCUGCGCCUGGUGAGCGGCGGUCGCCGCGCAUGGCCCUUGCGUCUUACAGUUCCUGACUGGUCCUGGUGAUUAACUCCUGAGCGGUGGGCGCUCCUCGCCCUGUGUUCUCCUGAGGGAAAUGUGCCGUGAAGAACGCCACCAAGUGGUGCCCGAGCGCCUCCCUCGUGAUGUUGGCAAGGUCUGAGGCCCUCCAGAAGAGAGCCCCCGAGCCCUGCCCGAGGAGGGCGCUGGGCGCGCCUUCCUAUGCAAUGGAGGGAGAUGCCCCUGGCACAGGCGCUGAUCCUGACGAGGUUCCAGUUGCUUUGCCACCCUCUUGAGGUCCUGCACGGCGCAACUGCUUCUUCUUCUUGGGGAUGGCCUCAGGAGGGCAUUCACCCUUGCUGUCGGGGUCGCUGAUUACUGCAGCUUGAAAGGCAUGCUCAAGGGAGCACACUGCAUCUCUUUCUUCGCAUGGGACCGUGAUGAUUCCGCCGCUUCCGGGCAUCUUGAGGACAUUGUAGCCGUGAUUGGUCACUGCCAUUAACUUGGCCAGGGCUGGGUACCCGAGGAUGGCAUUGUACGACAGACGGAUGUGUGCGACGUCGAAGUCGAUGAGCUCGGAGCGGUAGUUCUUGCGUUCUCCAAAGGUGACAGGGAGGCGGACUUGCCCUAUCGGUGUGGUGGAACCGUCGGUUACUCCUGAGAAAGGCUUGGCGGGCUGAAGCUAGUCAUACGGCACUUGGAGGUUGUCGAACGUGUCGACAGACAGGACGCUGAGCCCUGCGCCGCUGUCGAUGAGGGUCUUGGUAACUUGCACGUUGCUGAUGACUAGGGAGCAAAGCAUCGGGAGGGCGCCUACGGUAGCCGUGCACUUGAGCUGAUCUGCCGAACUGAAGAUGAUGGCGCACUUGGACCACCUGAGCAGUCGUGUGGCCUCAAGCUUGGGGAGGACUGCAUGCACCUCACGAGCAAACUGUUUGAAGAUACGCUGCGAGGCUGGGGCCUGAGCUCCACCCAAGAUGCAGGCGAUAGCACGUGGCUCCUAGAAGCCCCAACCCCCUCAUCUUGAUGAUGGUCGUCAUUCCUUCUUGGCGGCGGCGGUAGUGGAGGAAGACCGGCGUUGCCUUGAGGACGAUCCUCAUGAGGCUGAUCCCUCCAGGCGUCCUCGCGAGGUUGAUCCCUCCAGCGGUCCUCACGAGGCCGGUCGCGCCACUCCUGGCACGGGCCGCGGUCGUCCCAGCGUUCGCCACCGCGUCCUCCUCCUCGGCCGUAGCCCAGGUUGUUGCGCUCGGGGGUCGACCGAAGCGUCCUUCUCGAAUGGCUCUGAGCUCUUGACAGUCGCUGGUGUUGUGGGUACGUAGGUUAUGGAAGGCGCAGAACGGUUGGCUGCUCUUGGAUGACUCGGGCUGGCCUCUGCCGCGCUUGGUGUCCGUUUCCGCCGCGAGCACGGCUGCUCCCUUGUGCUUCACGUCUUUGGCCUUGGCUUUCUACUCCUCUGGGUCUGCAGUCGGGAGCUCAAGGAGGAGAGGCACCCUUCCUCAGCUCUUGCGCACUUGGUUGCCAGGUUGAACAGCUCCAGGGACGUGCACAACUCCUCGUGGAUAGCGAGCUCCUCCUUCAUCUUGACGUCACAGACGCCAUCAGAGAACACGGAGAUGAUGGUCUCGUCCGUCACCUUGGGGAUCUUGAGGCGAACGUUGUUGAAACGCUGGAUGUACUUCUGGAGGGUCUCUCCUAGUUGUUGCUUGACGCGGCGCAGGUCACCCGCGGCCGGAGAGCAGUCGCAAGUGCCCUGGAAGUUGGCGACGAAGCGGUUGCGCAUCUCUUCCCAGGAGGAGAUCGAGCCCGGUGGCAGGUUCAGGAACCACGAACGUGCGCCGUCUUUAAGCACCAUGCGGAACCAGUUCGCCAUGACUUUCUCGUCGCCGUUGGCCGCCUCGAUGCUCAGCUCGUAGAGCUGCAGGAACUCCGCGGGGUCGGGGGUGCCGUCAUAGCGAGGAGGCAGAUCCGGUUUGAACUUGCCCGGCCAGGCGACGCUACGCAGCUCGGGGGUGAAGGCGCGGCAGCCGGCCGUGGUCACCGGGGCCCGUCUUGGAGGUGGAGCUUGGUCUUGACGCCCGCGCACCGCUACAGCAAGCGGCGCGGGGCCUUGCCGCGGCAAAUGAUCCUGGCGCGGCGGUGCGAGGAGUGACGAAGCGUUCUCUUGCGGUCGAGGGACUUCUUGACAGAUUCUUUCUUCACGCAUGGGCGCCGGACGCGGUGGGUCGCGCCGCGGAGCCACACGCCUAGGCGCCAGGGUGUCGUCUUGGUGUAGAGGCGGUGCAGGCGCUCUGUGAGCUACGUCGCCCGUAGCUGGCGGAGAGCGAGGCAGAGAGAGGGACGGCGUAGGGGAGCCCCCGCGGCGCGGACAAGCUCAGCGAUGCGGUCGAGCCAGUCCUCAUAGAGGUCGUCGAUCGGGCGGUAGCGCAGGAGCUCGGGUGCCAUGAGGAGCGCGGCCCGUGCGUCCAUGGGAGCGCGACGAGAGUGGGACGACGAACCAGCGGGAGUCGGCGAUGGAGUGGCGAUGUGGCCGUCCCGCCGCACUGAGGGGUGCAGCAAGGACGCUUGCUGCUCGUUCCCUGCCAGGCCGGUGGCGGCAUUGGCGGCAGGCGACGGAGAGCGACGGGGUGGCCCGCCGACAGGGGCCGUCUGAGCAACGCCGGUGGCGAGGGCAGCCCGGCGCUCGGCGCGGGCGCGGCGUGCGUCUGCCAUGGAAACGACGAAGCGACGUGGCGCGGAGCGACGGAAGGGAAGCUUCGAUGCACCCCUACCUGGCGCGCCAAAUGUCGGAUCACGGGUUCCGGCAAAACCCUUGAGGUUCGAACUCUGGGGUGCGCGCGAAGUUCUUUCCCCCCUACCGAUCCACGCCCUAGCUGGCCAAGAUCUCGCGGAUGAACUCAACGAACUCACAACACAAGAGACACAAGAUUUAUACUGGUUCAGGCCAUCAUUGUGGUGUAAUGCCCUACUCCUGUGUGGUGGUGGUGGAUUACCUCUUGGGUUGAUGAUGAACGGUACAAGGGGAAGAACAGCCUCCUGAGGUUGAGGUGUUCUUGUGCUUGGUGUGGGGCUAAGGAUCAGAUGAGAUGCCUCUGAAAUCAGUUCUCCCCUACGGUGAUGGCUAGUUCUACUUAUAUAGGCCCUGGUCCUCUUCCCAAAUAUUGAGUGGGAAGGGAGCCAACAACGGCCAAUUUGAAACGAGACAACUAGUACAGCUUAUCCUGACAAAAGUGGUCUUCGCCUACAAAAGGCUCUGGUGGUGACGCCGCCUUGGGCUCCAUGGCGACCUCUGUCUUGCCGUCCUGCUGGUCUUGGUCUCGUUGCACCGGUAUGGAAACCUUUGCUUGACGCCCCAGUACUCCGUGCCUGCGCUUGCCUCCUUAGCACCAAAGAGGAAACAAGGAAACUACGCGCGCUGGCGCCCGCCUGGCGCCCGCCUGAUCUUGAUCGUCAUGGCUCACGUCACGAGAACCUCGCGAGGUUUGCCUUGCCUUGAUCUCUCCGCCCCUCAUGAGCCAACCUGGUGAGGCCGCUCUUGAGGAGGUCUUGUGUCGUCCGCCUCGCGAGGCUUGGCCCCUCGCGAGGGUCUUGAAUGCCUUGUUCAUGAAGAUGGGCCAUACAGGCCUGCUACACAUCCACGCCAUGUGUCGCGGGCAGGCAAGGUUGGGGACCCCCGUUCCAAGAACACCGACAGUACUUGGUAUGUCUUGAGUUGUGCGUAGACUCCCCGGCAACGGCGCCAGAAAUCCUUUACCUCUUGAGCACUGCGUUGGUUUUCCCUUGAAGAGGAAAGGGUGAUGCAGCAAAGUAGCGUAAGUAUUUCCCUCAGUUUUUGAGAACCAAGGUAUCAAUCCAGUAGGAGGCCACGUGCAAGUCCCUCGUACCUACACAAACAAAUAAGAACCUUGCAACCAACGCGAUAAAGGGGUUGUCAAUCCCUUCACGGUCACUUGCAAAAGUGAGAUCUGAUAGAGAUGAUAAGAUAAUAUUUUUGGUAUUUUUAUGAUAAAGAUUUAAAGUAAAGAUUGCAAAAUAAACGGUGCAAGAAAUAGCUCGUUGACGGGAGAUUAAUAUGAUGGAAAAUAGACCCCGGGGCCAUAGGUUUCACUAGUGGCUUCUCUCAUGGUAGCAUAUGUCAGCGUUCUGGGAACGGGGGUCCCCAGACUUGCCUGCCUGCGGCCCACAGCGUGGCUAAGCCAGCAGGACGUACGGCCCAUCUUCAUCAACAAGGCAUCCAAGACCCUCGCGAGGGUCCAAGCCUCACGAGGCGGACGACGCAAGACCUCCUCUAGAGUGGCCUAGCCAGGCAGGCUCGCGAGGAGCGGAGAUAUCAAGGCGGGGCAAACCUCACGAGGCUCUCGUGACGUGAGCCAUGACGAACGGUGCCAGGCAGGCGCCAGGCGGGCGCCAGCGCGCGCGGCGUCCUUUUUUCCUCUUUGGUGCUAAGGAGGCCAGCGUAGGCGAAGAGUACCAAGGCAUCAGGCAAAGGUUGCUAUAUUGGUGCAACGAGACCAAGACCAAGAGGACAGUGAGACGGAGGUCAUCGUGGAGCCCAAGACGACGUCACCACCAGAGCUUUUCGCAGGCGAAGACCGCUUUUGUCAGGAUAGCUUGUACUAGCUGUCCCCCUUCAAAUUUGCCCGCCGUUGUUGGCUCCCUUCCCGCUCGAUAUUUGGGAAGAGGACCAGGGCCACUAUAAAUAGGUCUAGCCACCACAGUAGUAGCCAUCGGAUCCAGGGAUGCCCACAAGCUCGCAUGCACAAGAACACGUCAACCUCAGGAGGCUGUUCUUCCCUUGUACUGUUCAUCAUCAGCCCAAGUGGCAAUCCACCACCACCACACUGCAACGGUGGCCCGAACCAGUAUAAACCUCGUGUCUUUCUGUGUUGCGAGUUCGUCGAGUUCGUCUGCGAGAUCUUAGCGAGCUAGGGCGUAGAUCGGUAGGAGGGAAAGACUUCGCGCGCACCCCAGUGUUCGAACCUUAAGGGUUUGCCGGAACCCCACAUCCGACAUUUGGCGCGCCAGGUAGGGGUGCGCCGGAGCUCCUCUCCACCAACCUACGCCCCGUGCCGCCGCGCUUCGCCCCCAUGGCGGGUGCCCCGCCAUCCACCCCCGUGACCUACGUCGACAGCGGGGCAUCUGGGUACCAAGCCCUGGCCCCCGCCCUGCGCCGAGUGCGGUGGCCGACCAAGUUCAAGCCAGAGAUGCCGCCGCGUUACGACGGCGUGGCAGACCCGACGCUGUUCCUGCUGGCGUAUGAGGAGGCUGUCCUCGAAGCCGGAGGCGACGACAAGAUCAUGGCCAACUGGUUCUCCAUGGCCCUUGCCGGCGAGCUGCGUGCCUGGCUGCUCAACCUCCCAGGAUCCACAGUGGCUUCCUGGGGGGGACUCCGUGACCUCUUCAUCGAUCGCUAAGUGGUGCCAGCGCACAAUGCGGUCGCGGCCCUGCUGGGCGGCUCUCAAGCACCGCCUUCAGAUCGCCACAUCAAACUGUUCCUCCGUCAGAUCGGGGCCGCCUCCAAGCGCCCGGGGGCUCCGCCAGGUUGGGCUGCCCCAGAGGCCGACCUCACCUUCGGCACACGCGACAACUAUCGCACCGAGCUGAUGGACUUCGACAUCGCUCGCAUCGGUCUCCCAUACAACCCCAUCCUCGAGUACCCAGCUCUCGCUCAGUUCAUGGCGGUGACCCAUCCGGCCUACAACCUCAUGAAGAUGCCAGGAAGCAAGGGCGUCCUCACCAUCAAGGGGGACACUAAGGAGGCUAUGACGGCGCUUUAGCUCACCUUCAAGACUGCGGCAGCAGCACAGUCGGCCGACGCCGGUACCCACGAGGCCCGGGAGGCCGCGCCUACCAAGAAGAAGCAGCUGUUCACCUAAGACAAGGCAGAAACCAAGCAGGUGCCGGUCAGCGAGGACAAGUCUUCAGGGGCCACCUUCAUCAUAGGAGCCGGCCUUGACCCGGGACAGGAAGAAGCCUUGGUGAGGUUCUUGCGCGCAAACAAGGAGAUAUUCGCGUGGGAGCCCAAUCAGCUGGUAGGGGUCCUGAGAGAGGUGAUCCAACAUCAUCUAAGGGUAUGCCCCAACAUAUGCCCCGUGAAACAGCGAGCCAGACGGCAGUCCACUGAGAAGCAGGCCUUCAUCGUCCAGGAGACACGUAAGCUGGAGGCGGCAGGCGCCAUUCGGGAAGUUCGAUAUCCCGAAUGGCUGGCAAACCCUGUCGUAGUGCCAAAGAAAGGCGGGAAGGAGCGGAUGUGCGUCGACUUCACAACCUUAACAAAGCCUGCCCCCAAGAUCCGUUCCCACUCCCAUGCAUCGACUAGAUUGUCGACUCCACCGCCGAAUGCGACUUGAUAUGCUUCCUGGACGCGUUCUCAAGGUAUCAUCAAAUCAAGAUGGCGGUGGAAGAUGUGGAGAAGACAACUUUCCUAACACCAUGCGGGGUGUACUGCUACACCUGCAUGCCCUUCGGGCUGCGCAACGCAGGCGCCACCUUCCAGCGGUUGAUGCACAUCGCCCUGGGGCGGCAGCUCGGGAGGAACACAGAGGCCUACGUCGACGACAUAGUGGUAAAGUCUCGCGAGGCGAGGACAUUGAUUCAAGAUUUGGAGGAAACCUUCGAGAGCCUGCGCCGGGUGAACUUGAGGCUUAUCCCGGAGAAGUGCGUGUUCGGUGUCCCCUCCGGCAAGCUGCUCGGAUUCCUCGUGUCCCACAGGGGAAUCGAGGCGAACCCUGAGAAGAUCAAGGCCAUCGAGGACAUGAGCCCGCCGCAGACCCUCAAAGAGAUGCAAAAGCUGGCGGGGCGGGUGACCGCAUUAGGGCGUUUCAUCUCGAAGCUGGGAGAGCGCGCCUUACCCUUCUUCAAGCUCAUGAAGAAGAAAGGCCCGUUCGAAUGGACCCCGGAGGCCAAUCAGGCCUUCCAAGACCUCAAGAAGUACCUUACCAGCCCCCUAGUGAUGGUGGCACCACGGCCACUCGAGCCUCUGGUACUCUAUCUUGCCGCCACCUCGUACUCCGCCAGCGCAGCACUGGUGGCGGUCAGGGAGGAACGCCAAGCCAAGGGCGCGCCGCACCCAGCCGGGGCAGAAGUGGCGCAGGGUCAGGAGGAUGCAGCAAAGGCAUCAGCUGGGGAAGACAAAGCUCGGCAGGACAACGUCGCAGAAGUUCCUGAGGACGGCCGAGUUUCGAGAAACCCUCCACCUCAGGAGAUGCACCGACCUCCGCAGGACCCCAGCCUCGAUAGUGCGCCAGCCCACGUCGAACACCCAGUGUACUUCGUCAGCACCGUGCUGAGAGACGCAAGAGCAUGCUACCCCAUGCCUCAGAAGCUCCUGCUCGCACUCUUGGUGGCCUCGUGCAAGCUGCGGCACUACUUCCAGGGGCACCCGAUCAAGGUCGUCUCAGCUUACCCAUUGGAGAGGGUACUCAGGAGCUCAAAUUCGGCUGGAAGGGUCACUGAGUGGAAUAUCGAGCUGCAAGCAUUCCAGUUAGAGUUCAGCACUACCAGGGUCAUCAAGGGGGCUGUGCUCGCUGACUUUGUGGCAGAAUGGACGGAUGCCCCGACACUUGAGGAAGGGGAGGACCGGUCCACCUCCCCAGGGAGCGAGGCUCCGGACGGCUGGGUCAUGUAUUUCGACGGCGCUUUCGCGCACCAGGGCGCGGGAGCCGGAGCGGUGCUCAUCUCGCCCACCCAGGACAAGCUCUACUAUGACGUGCAACUCUGCUUCCAGCACGGCGAGAAGGUCUCCAACAAUAUCGCAGAAUACGAAGGCCUCAUAGCUGGCCUGAAGGCUGCGGCAGCUCUGGGGGUGAAGCGCCUUACCGUCAGGGGCGACUCGCAACUCCUCGCCAACUUCUCCAACAAGGUGUACGAGCCGAAGGACGAGCACAUGGAGGCCUACCUCGUGGAAGUACGCAAGAUGGAAAAGCAGUUCUCAGGUCUCGAGCUACAGCACGUGCCCCGGGGCACCAACAAAGAAGCCGACGACAUCGCCAGGAGAGCAUCCAAGCGGCUACCACAAGAGCCUGGUGUCUUCGAGGAGUGUCUCUUCAAGCCAUCAGCUACGCCACCCCUUUCAAUCACUACUCAGCCUCGGGAGGAGCUCCCACAGCCUCCGGUCACGGGAGCCCCGGCCUGUGGCCCGACCUUAGGAGCUCGGCUGCUCUUGGCGCUCGAGCCCCAGGAGGAAUGCUGGACUAAGGAAUUCAAGGAGUACCUGACACGCGGGGCGCUACCAGAGAAGGAAGAGGACGCGAAGCGCGUAGCCCGGCAAGCCACGGCAUACUGCAUUCAAGACGGCGAGUUGUACAGGAAACGGCCGAACGACGUCACGCUGCGCUCCAUCUCCAGCGAUCAAGGAAGGGAGCUACUGAUUGACAUACACGGCGGGGACUGCGGGCAUCACUCGUCGUCACAGACCCUCGUCGGCAAGGUGUUCUGCAGUGGAUUAUAUUGGCCUACAGCGCUCAAUGACGCAGCCGAGCUGGUGAAGUCCUGCGAAGCUUGCCAAUUCCAUGCCAAGCAAAUCCAUCAGCCUGCCCAGGGCCUCCAAACCAUCCUUCUCACAUGGUUGUUCGCAGUCUGGGGGCUGGACAUCUUAGGCCCGUUCCCACGGGCGCUAGGGGGCUAUCGCUAUCUCUACGUCGCCAUCGACAAGUUCACCAAGUGGGCGGAAGUGGAAGCCGUCCGUACCAUCCCGGCCGGCUCUGCCGUCAAGUUCAUCAAGGGCCUCGUGAGCCGCUUCGGGGUCCCCAACCGCAUCAUCACAGAUAACGGCUCACAGUUUACUAGUAACCUCUUCAAAACCUACUGUGCUAACCUUGGAACGUAGAUCUGCUAUGCUUCGGUGGCCCACCCCAGGAGCAAUGGUCAGGCUGAGCGCGCCAACGCAGAGGUCCUGAGGGGCCUCAAGACCAGGACCUUCAAGAAGAAGCUGGAGGCCUGCAGCAGGGGCUGGCACGACGAGCUCCAGUCCGUGUUGUGGUCCAUCCGCACCACCGCUACCAAGCCAACGGGCGAGACUCCGUUCUUCCUCGUCUAUGGAGCCGAAGCAGUCCUCCCUCACGAGGUCAAGCAUCGCUCCGCGCGGGUCCUGGCGUUCGAUGAAACGCAGCAGGACGCCAUGCGGGGGAUGGAUCUCGUGCUGGGGGAGGAACGUCGUCGCGAAGCUGCAUUAAGAGCGGCAAGGUACCAGCAAGCGCUGCGGCGUUACCACUGCCGCAACAUGUGCUCCAGGAUGCUCGAGACGGGUGACCUGGUCCUGAGAUGGGUCCUCUCCAGGGAAGGGUUGCACAAGCUUUCACCCAUGUGGGAGGGGCCGUUCAGGGUCGUCCACAUCUCCAGGCCUGGCGCCGUGCGCCUGGAGACGCAAGAAGGGACACCUAUCCAAAACGCCUGGAACAUCCAGCACCUCCGGAAGUUCUACCCAUGAAGCAAGGCCCAGAGCCUAUGAAGCAAGGCCCAGAGCCUGUGAAGAAAGGCCCAGAGCCUGUGAAGAAUCGCCGCUCGUGACACUCUCACAUAAUAAUGAGUUGGGGCUGUACACGCCCCGGAGUCUCAGGAGCGCCGGCCUCAGGCCCUGGGGCUCCCGCCCACGCCUAGUGGCAGCACUUAGCUCCGCGCUGGUGAGAAGACUUGAAGACUAGAUUAGGUGCUGGACGCGGCUUUUCAUUUGCUUUCCAUAGUUGGCUCGCCUUUCCUUAAUCGAAGUUGCUCUUGGUGUUCAUUGCUGAUUUGAUUCCCUAGCCUUUCACUGCAUUUUUCGGCUCUGGUUUGCUCGUGUUCUCUCUCCCGCAUACCUCGCGAGGGGGCUAGGCAAGUGCCCUCGCGAGCAUUUUUCUUCUCUCUGCCUUCUCGCGAGCCACCCUCGUUCGAGCCUGAAAGCCGGCACAUCUCUCCUAAUCCGUGCCCCUCGGGUACCGCGAUACAAAGCGCCAAGUCGAGGCUUAGGUGGACGGCAAAUCUUCUAGCGCACCCCCUAACGAAUUUUUUGCAGUUCCUGAGCAAACGCAGACACCUCGUGAGGGAAAGGGCGUCCCAAACGCACCAGGUUAAGUUAUCUUUGCGCAAAAUAACAACACGGCAUAGGAAUAACACGCACAGUGCAAUAGCCAAAGAACCAUAGUUCGAUACACGCCCCUCUGGGCCCAAACUUGUUUCAUUUCUGAUGCAAGGAAAAAGAGCCAAACAAAGCGGCGUUGUAGCAAUCCGCGGAGGCGGGCCCUUAGCGACGCCCCGAGCCUAGCUAGACCCCUCCCCGCGCUUCACGGAGGCGCGGCGGCGAGAUGACCCGCUGCCUCCUUCGAAGCAGGCGUGGUGGCGCGGCGGCUGGUCGUAGCCACCGCUGCUGGAGCUGUCGCCGGAGGAAGAGCCGCCGUAGCUGGAAGAGACGCGGUCGUCGCCGAGGGCAGGCUCGCCCUCAGCCUUGUCGCGACCGUCACCAAGGCCGAGCACCUCCUCGCCAUCGUUCGUCUCAGGGCAGCACCCGGCGCGACGACCAUCUUCCCCAAACACCCUCACAUAGAGGGUCGAUACAUGGUCAUACUUGAAGUGGAGCGUGCACCGCCUGUCCAGGCCGCGCGCGCGGGCGAACGGCUGCCAGCCGCGGGCCAGGGCUAUGUUGCCCGUGGCGGAAGUCUUGACCGCGACCCAAGAGGCCUUGCUGCAGCAGCCAUCCGCCUACAACCAGAGCCUGCCUGGACCAGGGGUCGGCAGUUCAUCGACAAAGAAGCGUGGAAGCUGGAGCCAGUUGCCGGCCGGGUUCUCCGACCAGACGAAGAACUCCGGCGACACCUCCGCUGAAUGGAAGUGCGGGCGGGGAGGCCGCGCCACCAUUGCGCGCCUCACCUCGUCAACUGGACCGCCAUGGUUGGGACGAUCCCGUCCGCGUGCCGCGGCGCCGCCUCGACGGUGGGCCACGGCGGGGGUCGCGGCGUGCUUGUGCGGACGGCCGCGACCGCGCUUGGGCACCAGGGAACCGGGGCCCUCGCCAGGGGCCUUCCCCUUCUCGGCGGCAGAGAACUUCCUUCGUGGCGCCAUAGGUGGCACUGCAAGCAAUGGAGCGAAGAACAAGCAAGCAAGCGAGGAAGAGAUGGGCGACGGGGGCUCCGCCCCCUCCCCAUUUAUAGCAAGAGAAGGCCAACCAGCGUCCCCCACGAUCGCAGGUAAUGAUGGUUUUCCUUGCAUGUCGUAGGGACUUGUCAAGUCGUGCAGUUGCCGAGGCAGCGUGGGGAAGCGGAGACGCCCACGUCCAAUCAACCGCCACGCGUCAACCGAGGCCGCAGGCUUUUGGGGACCGCAGUGCUCCGAACUUGACCCUUGGCUUCGCCACGAAGCCAAGCCCGAGCGCACCUUGGGCCCGGGGGCUACUGUCGGCGUUCUAGGAACAGGGGUCCCCAGACUUGCCUGCCUGCGGCCCACAGCGUGGCUAAGCCAGCAGGCUCUACGGCCCAUCUUCAUCAGCAAGGCAUCCAAGACCCUCGCGAGGGUCCAGGCGUUGCGAGGCGGACGACGCAAGACCUCCUUUGGAGUGGCCCAGCCAGGCAGGCUCGCGAGGAGCGGAGAUAUCAAGGCGGGGCAAACCUCACGAGGCUCUCGUGACGUGAGCCAUGACUAACGGUGCCAGGCGGGCGCCAGCGCGCGCGGCGUCCUUAUUUCGUCUUUGGUGCUAAGGAGGCUAGCGCAGGCGAAGAGUACCGAGACAUCAGGCAAAGGUUGCUAUAUUGGUGCAACGAGACCAUGACCAAGAGGACGGCGAGACGGAGGUCAUCGUGGAGCCCAAGACGGCGUCACCACCAGAGCUUUUCGCAGGCGAAGACCGCUUUUGUCAGGAUAGCUUGUACUAGCUGUCCCCCUUCAAAUUUGCCCGCCGUUGUUGGCUCCCUUCCCGCUCGAUAUUUGUGAAGAGGACCAGGGCCUCUAUAAAUAGGUCUAGCCAUCACAGUAGUAGCCAUCGGAUCCAGGGACGCGCACAAGCUCGCACGCACAAGAACACCUCAACCUCAGGAGGCUGUUCUUCCCUUGUACAUUUCAUUAUCAGCCCAAGAGGCAAUCCACCACCACCACACUGGAGUAGGGUAUUACACCACAACGGUGGCCCGAACCAGUAUAAACCUCGUGUCUUUCUAUGUUGCGAGUUCGUCGAGUUCGUCUACAAGAUCUUAGCGAGCUAGGGCGUAGAUCGGUAGGAGGGAAAGACUUCGCGCGCAUCCCAAUGUUCGAACCUUAAGGGUUUGCCGGAACCCCACAUCUGACAGCAUAAGUUUUAUGGUGGGUGAAAAAAUUACUGUCGAGCAAUUGAUAGAAAAGUGCGUAAUUAUGAGAAUAUCUAGGCAUGAUCAUGUAUAUAGGCAUCACGUCCACGACAAGUAGACCGACUCUUGCCUGAAUCUACUACUAUUACUCCACACAUCGACCGCUAUCCAGCAUGCAUCUAGAAUAUUAAGUUCAUAAGAACAGAGUAACGAAUUAGGUAAGAUGACAUGAUGUAGAGGGAUAAACUCAUGCAAUAUGAUGUAAACCCCAUCUUUUUAUCCUCGAUGGCAACAAUACAAUACGUGUCGUUUCCCCUAGUGUCACUGUGAUCGAGCACCGCAUGAUUGAACCCAAAGCUAAGCACUUCUCCCAUUGCAAGAAAGAUCAAUCUAGUAGGCCAAACCAAACUUAUAAUUCGAAGAGACUUGCAAAGAUAACCAAUCAUACAUAAAAGAAUUCAGAGAAGAUUCAAAUAUUGUUCAUAGAUAAUCUGGAUCAUAAACCCACAAUUCAUCGGAUCUCGACAAACACACCGCAAAAAGAGUUACAUCAAAUAGAUCUCCAAGAAGAUCGAGGAGAACUUUGAAUUGAGAUCCAAAAGAGAGAGAGAGAAGAAGCCAUCUAGCUAAUAACUAUGGACCCGAAGGUCUGUGGUAAACUACUUACACAUCAUCGGAGAGGCUAUGGUGUUCAUGUACAAGCCCUCCGUGAUCGAUGCCCCCUCCGACAGAGCGCCGAAAAAGGCCCCAAGAUGGGAUCUCACGGGUACAGAAGGUUGCGGCGGUGGAAUUAGAUUUUGGUGGUGCUCCUCGAUGGUUUCGGGGUACGUAGGUAUAUAUAGGAGGAAGAAGUAGGUCGGUGGAGCCACGAGGGGCCCACGAGGGUGGAGGGUGCGCCCAGGGGGGUAGGCGCGCCCCUUGCCUCGUGGCCUCCUCGUAUGUUUCUUGACGUCCACUCCAAGUCCUCUGGAUCACGUUUGUUCCAAAAAUCACACUCCCGAAGGUUUCAUUCCGUUUGGACUCCGUUUGAUAUUCUUUUUCUGCGAAACACUGAAAUAGGCAAAAAAACAGCAAUUUGCACUGGGCCUUGGGUUAAUAGGUUAGUCCCAAAAAUAAUAUAUAAGUGUAUAAAUAAGCCCAUUAAAUAUCCAAAACAGAAUAUAUAAUAGCAUGGAGCAAUAAAAAAUUAUAGAUAUGUUGGAGACAUAUCAGUGUGCUCCCUGGAGCGCACCUACCAGGCUGCGGCGGUCGAGAACCCGUAUGACGAAGGCGCCGUCCACCCCCGGAGCUCAUUCCCAAGAAGAAGAAGAAGAAGAAGAAGCUGCUCCGCCAAGGAUCUCAGGAGGAUGGGACGUCUGACGAUCGUGCCUCAGGCCCUGCGCCCACUAAUGGGGCGCCUUCCCCUCUCACAUAGGAAGGCACGCCCGACGCCCCUCUCCGGUUGGGCUCAGGGGCUCUCCUCUGGAGGACCUCGGACCUUGCCAGCGUCACGAGGGAGGCGUUCGGGCACCAUGUGGAGGCGUGCUUCAACACGCGCUUAUGUGAGGAGAGCGCGGGGUGCGAGGCGCUAGGCGCCAAGGAGUUCAUCACCAAGGCAAUCAAGGAGCUUCAGGAGGCGAGAGCCAUGCAAGGUGAGCAUCUCCCUGCACCACCCGGCGCAGCUCCCUCCCCCGGCGAGGGCAGCGAGCUGCGCGCCCGUGUCAACAUCCCGGGGCUCAACAAGGCCGCGUCUCAGGUGCUCUUCUGGCCGUCCCGUGUUGGCCGGUGUGAGGGCCCCCCUCACAGCUACGUUCGCAUGCCUUUCAGUCUGCUAAGCGUGGCUGCUAUGCACCAGCACCAUGUGCGGGCCGUCCUGGAGGCUCACGAGGCCCGACGCAAGGCGGUCCAGAAGGAGGAGGUGACGAACCCUCGCGAGACCCCUGGGCCUCCGGAGCCUCACGAGGUUCAGGAGCUGGACGGGUCAUGAGGAACGGCUUCUGUGGCACGCGGCUUCAACUACUCCCACACUUCCUCAGCAACAGUGCCAGGUGACACUUUUUUGGUUUGUUUACUCGGGGGCGCCCCUCGGGCUGCAUUAUCCCAAAGCCGUAUGGGUCAGUACCUGUGGCAUGUAUAGUUUUUCGCGUAUAUCAGAACUGGCCUUACCCUCUCAUGAGUUGCUUCAUGUCAUCACCUCCCUAUCCGGUGCUCCGUCGUCAUGAAUGUCACACACCCUUGCAAAGCCGCCUGCAACCGCCUCAUGAUUAAGGACUGACACGGCGUAUGUGCUCAGGUUCGUCCCUGCAACAUCGCUAAACCCAAGUGGCUGAGCUCUGUCUCGCGGGCUAGCUCCCAUGCACGUCACCUCCCAUGGUCCUUGGUGCCUUGUUCUCACAUGAGCUAAUCAAGAGUGGGUAAGUUAGGGCGCACGACCCGGUGCCUCACCGUCGCGGGAUCCGCGUGUCGGUUGUCUUUCUUCAGGAUUUUCGCAUGAGAAGACUGGGCACGGCGUCUGUGCUCGGGUCCGUCCCUGCAGUGUCGACAAACCCAACGGCUGAGCUCUGUCUGGCGGGCCAGCCCCGUUCACGUCACCUCCUGGGGUCAUUGGUGUUUGGCCUUCUCAUGCGAUAUCCUCAGGAGAUUCACUUGGUGCAGGUUACCUAACCAUCUCGCGAGACCCUUGCAAGUGUUCCGAAUCAAAUUCAGGCGCAACCCGCCUUGAGGUAGGGCCUCAUGAGUCCCGCGCUGGCUCACGAGUGCCCAUAUACACCUCCUCCAGUCCUACCGUGCAAGCCACGUGCCAGGACGGGGUUGUACACGCCCUGGAGUCUCCCCUCAGAGGGAGCUCCCACCCACGUACCUGUGGAAGCCCCGUGCUCCGUGCUAGUGGACGACAUGGUCGAGGAGCGGCUAUGCCUGUGGAAGAGUGGAAGCACCAUGAUUCGUGCUGGUGAAUAAACAACUGAGGACAACCUAGCGGCUGUAGUAACCUCAGGAGAGCCACCAGGCUCGUUGCUCAGCCUCACCGCGCCGCUUUCCCCUCGGGAGGGUCGCGCAAGGGGGCUGGGCACGGGGGCUACGCUCAGGUCACCUGUCAUACACCACCUCACCAGGUCCCUUGGGCCUGGUCUUCGCUCGUCCCUCCCGAGCGAAAGCCUGACGAGGAAAGGUAUGGAGAACUGUUCGUACGUCAAGGGGGACCCCUGAGCAUCGCGACUCAGGGGCCUCACUGGGCACGUAGCCCCUCACCCCUUGGUCUCGCCUUGGUGAUCUGGAGGCCCCAACAGCGGUUGAGGUAUGCGCGGGGCCGGGCCCUGCCGACGCAGAACGCUAAAAACAACACUCACGUCUCCUUCCUGAGGGUUGUUCGUACGUCAAGGGGGACCCCUGAGCAUCGUGACUUAGGGGCCUCACCGGUCACGUAGCCCCUCACCCCUUGGUCUCGUCCUGGUGAUCCAGACGCCCCAACGGCGGCUGAGGUAUGUGCGGGCCCGGGCCCUGCUGACGCAGAAUACUAAAGCAAAUGGAAAGGAAAUCGCGAAAUGCUAGAAAAUUAUUACAAAACAUAUUGUCUCUUGAACUCAAAGUAGAAGUUCUCACACCUCCACGAGGCACGGUAAAUGUUACAGGGUUAAAACAGGGGGAAGCGUUGCCUUCGAACCUCUUCUUCAGCCUUCGACGCCGCUGUUGCUCGCCUGGGGAGGCCCGUCAUCAACAACGUCGCCGCCAUCCACGCCACCAGCUAUGGUCGUGGGGUCUACGCAAAGGAUCUUCUUCAGCAGGGCCUCCACCUGCUUCCCCACAGUCUCGGUGGCAGCGUCGUGGAGCUCAGGGGCCACAGGUUCGAGCAGCACGCCAAUGUCGAAGCUGGGGUCCCGAAGGUGGCGGUGGCUGAAGAUGCGCGUCGCGCCCGAGGUAAAAAGCGUGCGAGCCUGAUAACCCACAAGUAUCAGGGAUCAUUUGUAGCCUUCUUCGAUAGAUAAGAGUGUCAAACCCAACGAGGAGCUAAAGGCAGAACAAAUAUUCCAUCAAGUUCUAUCGACCACCGAUACAACUCUACGCACAGUUGCCGUUUGCUUUACCGGAAACAAGUAUGAAACUAGUUUGUAGGAGUGAUGCUAGAACUACUUUGCAAUAAUAAAACUAGAAGUACUUUGCAAGAUAAUAAAAGUUAGGUUUUUAGUAAAAAGGUUAGUGUCAACAAGAAAGUUAUUUGUCCCAAGGCAAUCGAUAACAAGUACCGGUAAUCAUUCUUGUAAUUUUAUAUGAGGGAGAGGCAUGAGCUAACAUACUUUCUCUACUUAUGAUUGGACCCCUAGCAAGCAUCCGCAACUACUAAAGAUCAUUAAGGUCGUGAAACCCAACCAUAGCAUUAAAUAUCAAGUCCUCUUUACUCCCAUACGUCAUACCCCACUUACUCAGGUUGAAGCUUCUGUCACUCUCGCAACCCACCAUAAGCGAACCAUGAACAUAUUGCAACACCCAACAGCGGGGUCCCCUCACGCUUGCGCGAAAAUGGAGGGCACCGUAGGACAGCACCAUAGAUAAAAUAUACAAUCAUACCAACCAAGAUCAUGAUUAACCCACAGGACAAAACAGAUCUACUCAAACAUCAUAGGAUAACCAUAGAUCAUUGGGAAAUAAUAUAUGGAGUUGAGCACCAUGUUUAAAUAGAGAUUACAACAGGGGGAAGAGGUGUUACACCACUUCAUAGAGGGGGAGAAAGUUGGUGUUGAUGGUAGCAAGAUUGUUGAUGUAGAUCGCCGUCCCGAUCUUUGCCCCGGCGACACUCCGGCGCCACCGGAAGCGAGGGGGAGAGAGCCCCCUCCUUCUUCUUCCUCCUUGGCCUCCCCCCUUGAUGGGAGGAGAGUUGACCCUCUGGUCCAUGGUCUCCAAGACGGCGGAGUGGCGGGAGCCCCUCCGAGAUUGGAUCUCCCUCUCUUUUCUCUUCUAUUUCAGGUUUUCCAGAUAUGGCCCUUCACCGUUUCUUAAAUUCCCGGAGAUCCGUAACUCCGAUUGCGCUGGAAUUUUACACUUUUUUUUUGCAUAAAUUAUCUUUCUUGCGCUAGGAGAAGGGCUCCAACCGACCUUCGAGGAGGGCACAAGACACCUGGGCGCGCCAGGGGGUGCCUGGCGUGCCCUGGUGGGUUGUGGGCUUUGUGGGCCCCCGUUUGCGUUAAUUCCACCUCCCAAAAAUCACAUAAAUUCCAAAAUAAAUCUCUGUAAAUUUUUAUCGCGUUUGGACUUCGUUUGAUAUGGAUUUUCUGCGAUACAAAAAACAUGCAACAAACAGGAACUGGCACUGGGCACUGGAUCAAUAGGUUAGUCCAAUAAAUCAUAUAAAAAGUUGCCAAAAAUAUGUGAAAGAUGUAUAAUAUUGGCAUGAAAUAAUAAAAAAUUAUAGAUACGACGGAGACGUAUCAGCAUCCCCAAGCUUAAUUCCUUCUCAUCCUUGAGUAGGUAAAUGAUAAAAAGAUAACUUUUGAUGUGGAAUGCUAGCUAACAUAAACUUGAUCAUAUAUCUAAUCAUCACUACUGCAUGAUGCUGCUAACGCGACACUACGAUCAGAGACCCUUCGACGAAACUAUGUGCGAUGCCACAAUCGCAAACGGUGGUGUAAAAAACCGUCAAAAAAGGUGCAAAACAUUUGCGAUGGAGGAUGCAUCAAACACGGUUCAGAUUUUAGUUGUGUGUGCGAUUCAGGCCACACGGUUAACCCGUUCGAACUGUUUGCGAUGAGGAAGAACAACAGAAACGGGCAGCCAUAUCAAUGUGUGUGCGAUAUACGGCAUACAGUUUGCUCCGAUGAACCAUUUUCUAUUGGGGAGUGCAACAUAAACGGUUAGCCAGAUCAAGGUGUGUGUUAUAUAGGGCAUACGGUUCACUCGGGCGAACUGUUUUUGAUUAGCGAACGCAACAGAAACAGUUCAACUUAACAAGCUGUGUGUGAUACGUGGCAAAUAGCCGACUCGGAUGAACUAUUUGCGAUGAGAAAUUACAACACAGACGGUUAAUACAGUUAGUUCGUGUGCGAUUCUGUGUGUACAAAAAACUUUGAAAAAUGCAAACUAGUUGCUUGCGGUGGCUAGGAAUAUCGCACACGAUGCGUCUGCGAGUACUCGUGUGCGAUGAUUAGUAAGUUACACAGACGUUUCGUUAUGUUAACACUUGUGUAAUAAAUAACACGUGGCAUCGGAUAUGGUAUUCGGGUUGUGUGUGUGCUCCACUUAGUCUUCCCGCGCUCCACAUGGAUGAAUUGUAAAAUCCACGCCUAUUCCCUCACUGGUUUCCCGCCACCAGCUAACGCCUUGCUGCAUAUAACCUAGGCGGCAACGCACCGCCGUGACACUCUACGAAGAUCUAGUCCUCACCCAUCUACCAUUAGUUAUUCCAACCAUGCCAGGCAACGACCAAAGCUUCGACGUCGAGGCCUACCUGCGUUACAUCUUCGGCGAGGAGAACGAGCCAGACCAGGUCGGGGAGCAAGAGAUUCAUCGGCCGGUGCAAGCACCAUGGCCCAUCGGCAGCGAUAUCGGCGUAAUAGUCCUUGGGAGCACAAUCGACAUAUUGCAGAGGAGGUGUGAUGAGCUGUUUGCCAUCCACCGUGCAAAAGAUCCAGAGCUGCUCGGCGGCAUCAUCGACGACCCACCCGAAGAGCCGCCGUCACCAGUGCUCAUCGAGAGCCUGAUGCCCCGCAAGGAAUGGGCAGAGGACCUCUGCGAUUCAGUCAAGAUAAAGGCAGCCUACGGCUUCAUCAUUGCCCGCGGCGGCCGUGUCAACCUCGAUCCCAAUGAUGUGGUGGCCAGGCUCGAGUGCAUCCUUGGCGGAGUUGACAUCCCCGACGAAGUAGAACAUCGCCAACAUGAUAUCUUGAGGAUGCAGGUGAUCAACGGAAUUUGCUACCAGGCCAGAGACAUGGAAAUGGAGCGGUUCCACGGAGUUUUCAUGCGCGCGAUUGCACGCUAUCAAGCUCUUCUGGAAGAGGCCCAGCAGCCCCAAGAGCCUCCUAGCGCCAGCAGCUCCGUAGGCGGAGGCGGGUCCGGACACUCAGAGUGAACAGCCGCAAGGGUGCUAUGCUGAUCAUGGAGUCUGAGAAGACCAUCGUUGGAAGGCCGCCAGCUCAGCUUUUAGCUUAUAUUUUAUUAUAAUUGUAUGCAUAUGUAGGUCGUGAGUGUUCUGGGCCUUGCCGCAUUUGGCAUUUUCAAUCAUCCUUAAUAUGUAAGACAAUUAUUAAGAAUUAUUAACAGUUGCCAUUGUAACUUUGCCUCAACGGCGAGCAGAGCACGCCCAGGGACGCCAGAGCGGAGCGCGCCACGGCCGCCUCAACGACGAGCAACCACGUGGUCAACCUUCUGCCAUCAAUAAAUUUUGACCUUGUUUCUUGUCACAUUGUUGAUUACAACGCAAUAAGUAAUUGCAAAUCUGUUCACACCUAUCAAACUAAUAUGUGUUCACACUUAGCACCAGGCUAUAAAAAAUACCCACUCAAAAAUUACUUCACAGUUCCUCUCCUCAUCACCCAGAAAACUGGUUUUCUCUGUCAAGUCGUUCCGCCAUGACCGGUAGGAGGAGUUUAGGGUGGACAUAUAACCAGGCAGCAAAGACCAAGGCCGCGGAAGCACUAGAGAGGUCCUGCUGUGAAGCCGCAGCAGAUAUGUCCCGGCGCGCCGCAGAGCCCUCGAACAAGCUCUCAUGGGCAUGUGAGGGCUCUCACAAGCGCAUUCGCGGCGUCGGCCAUCGCGACGAGCCGGCGUUCCUGAAGUCCUUCGCCGGCGACGAUGACAUUCUCGCUGGCGUCACUACAGAGCAGGAGCUGGUCGACGGCUUGAUGAAGCUGCUCAAGAUUAGCGAUGCCUCGGUUGACAAGGCAACCGGCCUCGUCAAGCAACUCAUGGAUGACAAUGCGAAGCUCGUCAAGUUGGUCGCCGAGAAGGAGGAGGAGGCCGCCGGCUGGAAGAUGCUGCAUGAGCAGAGCAGUGCCUCGGAGAUCACGCUGAAAGCGGUCGUUGAGGAACUAAUGGGUGGCUUGAAGAAGCUCUGGAUCGAGCGCGAGCAGGAGGUGGAGGAAUCUGUGGCUGCUUUCAAGCAAAGUCAUGAGGAAUUGAAGAAGGAGCUGGAGGAUUUCGCCGCCCGGCGAUCCAUCAACAAGUAGAGAUAGUAGCGACCCAGAUCAUUGUCUGCAAUUUCCUUCUUCUCUUGCCCCCGUGUCUUCCGGGCUUUGCCGCAUGUGGCAUUUUAAAUUAUCCGGAAUAUGUAAGACAAUUAUUAUGUGUGCCAUUGUAAAUUUGUCGUCGUAUUAUCCAUUGCCAUUUUAUUUGUGGUCGUAUUAUCCGUUGCCCUAUGUGGCAAUUUAAAUUAGGGCGGAAUACUAGUUGAAAACACGAACAAAGCAAAUGCUGCCAUGGGAUCACAAGCAAACACCCUCCGUCCAGGUGCUUUAAUUAACCCAUUAAUGGAGAAGUUGUGAGCGAGGCGGGCGGCGGCUGGUGCAUGGAGGUCAAAGAGCUCGCUUCCCGGUGAGCAUGGACGGCCUCGAGGUGGACAGGAUGCACGCGUCCCGUCGAGCCUGCACGGCGGACUGCUCGCACGCAUCCAUCGAACCUGCACGGCGGACUUCUCGCGCUCGUCCCGUCUAAUCAAACAGCUGCACGCACGCCACCGAGUAUGGUUAAAUUUCGACACGGUAAAUAUAAUACAACCGUUUGUGAUAUUAACGUGUCAGUUUUUUUUCAAAAAGGACUUCGUUGGCUACUAAUGUGUGCGCCUCUUCUCAAACUGGAUGCUUUUUUUACCACGGCAUAUAUGUGCCAUGUCAUGAAACCAUGCCAAUUUUCAUGUUUUUUGGGUGACUUUUUUAUUUACUGGGAUUUAAAAACCGAGAUUCUCAUUGUUUCAAGACGACGACAAGUUUGUAAUUCAUUCUCAUUCCUUAAACGAGACCUAAAGAUGCACCCAAUGACACAUGUACAAUUUCCCACCCAUUUUGCUUCACUAGAGCAUGUGGUUGUAGUUCAAAUUUGAAUUAUGGACUACAUUAAAUGCAUAGAAAACUUAGUAAUUAGUAAUAUAUAUACAAUGGCCAAACGAACCCUGAACAGUUUCAAAUUUCAGCCCGACACUCCUGUUAUUCUAUGUUGCCUGUAGAAAACAAAGUUCAAGGCGAGAAGAGGCAUCAAUUAUCGUUUCGCCCACAAGAGGGGCAUGUUUCCCUACUGGAACCACGAGGGUUGCGACAGGCUCCGGUUUGUAAAAGGCUUGUAAUAUAGCUUCGCCCAAAUUGGACAAUUAUAUAUACCAUGUAGUGACACCAUGUCAAGUUUCAUGAGUUCCUGGUGAGUUUUGGAUUUACAGACAUUUAAAAACUGAGAUUCGCAAUGUUUGUGACCAGGCCAGGACGGCGAGACGGUUGAAUUCGUUCCCAUUCGUUCCAUGGGACCUAAACAUGCACCCCAAGGAAUCUUGUAUGUUUUUUCUAGCCAUUUUGGUGCACUGGAGCAUGUAUUUGUAGUUCGGAUUUGAAUGAUGGACAUUAAAUGCCUAGAAAACUCAAUUAAUGAAUAAAAAAGGUCAAACGAACCCUGAAUAAUUUCAAAGUUCAGCGCGAAUCUCCAAUUGUUCCAUGUCGCGUGUAGAAGAAAAUAUGAGGCUAGAAGAGGGGUGAUUAUUGUUUGGCCCACAAGGGGACACGUUUCCCUAUCGAAACCACGAGGGUUCUUGCGAUAGGCUCCGGUUUGUAAGAGGUUUGUAAUAAAGCUUGGCCCAAAUUAGCAAUGUUUUUACCAUGACAUAUAUGUGCCAUGACAUGACACCUUGCCACCUUUGAUGACUUUCUGGUGAGUUUAGGAUUUAUGGGGACUUAAAAACCAAGAUUCGAAAUGUUUGAGGAAGAGCCAGGACACCGGUACGGUUGUAAUUCGUUCCCAUUCCUGGCAUGAGACCUAAACAUGCACCCAAGGACACAUGUAUAAUUUUUCUAGCCAUUUUGGUGUACUGGAGCAUGUAUUUGUAGUUCAGAUUUGAAUUAUGGACAUUAAAUGCCUAGGAAACUCAAUUAGUGUAUAAAAAGGCCAAACGAACCCUGAAUAAGUUUAAAUUUCAGCACAAAUAUCCUGUGGUUCCAUGUUGCCCGUGGAAGAAAAUACAAGGCGAAAAGAGGCAGUGAUUACGUUUCGCCCACAAGGGGAACACGUUUCCCUAUCAGAACCACGAGGCUUCUUUGAGAGAAGCUCCAACUUUUGUAAGAGGUUUGUAAUAAAGCUUGGCCCAAAUUGGAGAAUGUUUUUACCACGACAUAUAUGUGCCAUGACGUGACACCAUGCCAUCUUUGAUGACUUUCUGGUGAGUUUAGGAUUUAUGGGGACUUAAAAACUGAGAUUCAAAAUGUUUGAGUACGAGCCAUGACACCAGUACGGUUGUAAUUUGUUCCCAUUCCUGGCAUGAGACCUAAACAUGCACCCAAGGACACAUGUAUAAUUUUUCUAGCCAUUUUGGUGUACUGGAGCAUGUAUUUGUAGUUCAGAUUUGAAUUAUGGACAUUAAAUGCCAAGGAAACUCAAUUAGUGUAUAAAAAGGCCAAACGAACCCUGAAUAAGUUUAAAUUUCAGCACAAAUAUCCUGUGGUUCCAUGUUGCCCGUGGAAGAAAAUACAAGGCGAAAAGAGGCAGUGAUUACGUUUCGCCCACAAGGGGAACACGUUUCCCUAUCAGAACCACGAGGCUUCUUUGAGAGAAGCUCCAACUUUUGUAAGAGGUUUGUAAUAAAGCUUGGCCCAAAUUGGAGAAUGUUUUUACCACGACAUAUAUGUGCCAUGACGUGACACCAUGCCAUCUUUGAUGACUUUCUAGUGAGUUUAGGAUUUAUGGGGACUUAAAAACUGAGAUUCAAAAUGUUCGAGUACGAGCCAUGACACCAGUACGGUUGUAAUUCGUUCCCAUUCCUGGCAUGUGACCUAAACAUGCACCCAAGGACACAUGUAUAAUUUUUCUAGCCAUUUUGGUGAACUGGAGCAUGUAUUUGUAGUUCAGAUUUGAAUUAUGGACAUUAAAUGCCAAGGAAACUCAAUUAGUGUAUAAAAAGGCCAAACGAACCCUGAAUAAGUUUAAAUUUCAGCACGGAUAUCCUGUCGUUCCAUGUUGCUCGUAGAAGAAAAUACAAGGUGAAAAGAGGCAGUGAUUAUGUUUCGUCCAGAAGGGGGACAAGUUUCCCUAUCGGAACCACGAGGCUUGUUUGAGAGAAGCUACGGUUUGUAAGAGGCUUGUAAUAAAACUUGCGCCACAAUGGACGAAAAAAAUUCCUCGACAUAUAAGUGCUAUGUCGUGACACCAUGGCAGGUUUCAUGAUUUUCAGUUUAGUUUUGGAUUUACGGGGAUUUAAAAACCAAGAUUCUUCUCACGAAAUGUUUUCAAAUAGCACAUGGUUCACUUACGGAAGCCGAUAUUCAAUGAAAACUUCAUGGAAACCAUAUUUUAAAGUUUUAUAAAAAUCUGAAAAAAUGUGGGAUGUUAAGAAGGUGAUGUUUUAUUGCGACACAAAAUUUCAAGUUGAAAAACAUUACGAGAUGUGAGCUAUGAAAAAGACAAAUUCCGCCCUGAAUAGUGACAUUACUAUUCGGCACUAUUCAACGCUGGUUUUAUCUUUUUCAUAGCUCAUAUCUCUUAAUGUGUUUCAACUUGAAAUUUUGUGCACCAAUAAAACAUCAUCCUUUUAACAUCCCGCAUUUUUUUGAAUUUUUUUUAAACUUCAAAACAUCUUUUUCUCAUGGUUUUCACCGGUUUCCACCGAAUGUUGGUUUUCGUAUGAUAUCCCCCCCCCCCGCUGCGCGCGCGAUCUGAGUCCUGUGUUCUGACUGGCCAGAACCCAAACCCCACGGAUCAUACGUGUGCACCGUUGGAUGCUCCCAGAUCGAACGGCAACCCUGAGCCCUUUCGACAUCACAUGCAGUACAUGGGUAAGCAUUGUGCGCAUGCGUCGUGUAGCUCACGCUUCCUUCUCUACUAGGUUUUCAUUCAAAACAGGCUACCGUUUGUCGCCACUCCUCUCAUCGGUUUCCUGCCUCUUCUCCCAGAUAUGCAUGAUCUAGAUGUUCGUUCAAUUCUUAUAGUUCAUCUCAUCCAAAAUCAAUUAGUUUUGUAAAAAAAACUAUUUUAAGAUUCAUGGAAUUGUGCAUUGUAAAGGUAAAAACAAAAAGUGACAAUUCAUUUAGAAAAAAAGGUUUGGGCAAUUAAGAUAUGAAAGAUUCUAGAGAACAAAGGAGAAGUGCUUCUGUUUUGAGGUUUGUGCAUUAUGCUUAAGUUCAACCAUGGAGUCUUCUAGAUUGUACAUGUGGCAGAAUCUGGUAGAAUGUAGAUGAUAUCCAACGGCCAGUAGUGCUAGGAUUUGCCAUCUCUGUACCGUCGGAUUGGCUUCAUCCAACGAGAAACUUUCAUAGUUAUUCACACACUAUAUAUGUGUAUAAAUAUGGAUGUAUAGAUAUAUAUAGAUGUGUCCCAUGCUAGACAAAAUAAAGUUUGAGCGCAUGCGUGGGACGACCCCACCCCCCGCUGCCGCCUCGAAGUUGGGAAACUGACAUCAUAGGUAUUGAACCAGGCUUGGAGUCAGGUACGGUGUUCGGUUUGUAAUGUACUUGGCGUGGCCCAUCGAAGUUGUGCAUUUGGGAUUUAAACACAUCAUACACCAUCGUACCUGUCGUGGAAUUGUCACGGCAGAUGUCCUUGAGUUAGGACUUAGUCGUGGAGCCAUCGCAGCUAGGAAGCUUGAAGGGGUUAAUGCGGGACAAGGAACAUGAGGGUUUAUACUGGUUCGGCCCCUUACGGUGACGGUAAAACCUUACGUCCAGUUUGAUGUGGUAUUGAUUAGGGUUUCGAUAACCAGGGAGCUAAACUGCUAUGCCCGGCUCUCGAUGAGAUUGUUGUCGCCCUUAAACUGCUGCCAGGUAGUCCCUUUAUAUAGGGAGGCUGACGCCCUGCAGCUAUCAGAGUCCCGGCCGGCUCAUAAGAGUGUCCGGCUCGGGCUCUCAACUAUUCUUGCCUUACACUACAAGUUCUACCAUAAUAAUGAUUGUAACUACGGGCCUUAAGCCAUAUCCAGGUCUUAAGCCCAUCUUUGGCCCACCAUCUUUAAGCUUGGUGCCGGGCUUCUGGCAAUGACCAUAUGAGUAACCCGGCCCCUCCUGGCGGGUGACUCUAAGGUCUAUAUCCUCAACAUUAGGCCCCAGAUUGAUUUGAGCCGGCUCAUGUCAAUCUUCAACUCUUUCGACAGAAAAAAUCUCCGGCUUACCAUUCGUGUGAAGGCCAUAACCCGGCGUGACGUCAUCCUCUGGACUCCGGAUAAUCCGCCGUGACGUCAUCUUCCAUUAAGUCCGUUUUUUACUCCGCCAGAUCCGCAACGGAUCUUUUCCUUUACUGUCAUCCCGAAAAUCGAGGCGCUGCGUGGGGAGAUAACCACGCCACGGUCUCCUUGAUUCUCGCGCCCGCUUUACGAGCUCGCCUUAUAAAUAGGCCGGCCCGACGGGCUCUUCUCACGCUCCUUCCUCUGUCGUCUUCUUCCUCUCACUUUCCCGUGCUGCUCGAGCUCCGCCGCCGUCGCCGCCGCGGGUCUCCUCAUCGUUACCAGCUCAGGCCGCUGCAUCACCCUGAUCUGACCAGAGAAACGCGGCGACCCCCGCGACUCUCCAGCUCUUGUAAGUCCUGCUUGUCCUGUAGAGUAGAUCUACCGUAAGAUUCGUCUGCGUUCUUCGUGUUCGUCGCCAUUACCCGCAAGUUCCGGUAGUUAUCAUAGUUACUGCCCCUGUUUGAUCUUAGAUCUGCAUAGAACUAGUGUGGCGACUGUUUAGCACCCAUUUUACACGCAAACAGCUCUCUUUUUACUGCAUAGGAACUUUGUUCGGGCCCAAGAACUCCCUCGCUUCUGUUUCUAGGUCUAGAAAUUUUUCUUUUGCCCGACCAUUUCGAUCCAAAAAAGUUACUGCAAUGUGUGAAACCUGUUUUACCACACUUAGUAAAAAACUGCAAUCAUUGAAUCUUGGCGGUUUACAGUUCCGGCUUAAAGAAACCACGCGCCGUAGAACCUUCCGGCUUAAAGAGAACCAUGCUUCGUAGAAUCCUCCGGCUUAGCUGUGAUAAGGCCGUAGAUAAUCAAUUUAUUCUGAAUGCCCCUGCGGCUUAAAUAACCCGUUGUACUUAGGUAUAUACCAUUAGUCCCCUUCAUAAGCCGCCACCUUAGCUUUGAACUGUAGAUCUCCUCCGGCUUAUCAUUAACCCGGACGUUUUUCCUUUUUGUCAUAGACUGCCGACUUUCACCAUGCCUCCCAAAGCUCCCAUUACUUGUAACUGGAUGAGGUCCAAUGUCACCAACGAGACCCUAGCAGAUUUUGUUAAGUCAGGAUAUCUGCCCAAGAAAGACAUCAUGUCCUACCGUGCCCCUGACCCGUCAGAAGAAAGGCCACAGCCAAAGGAUGGGGAGGUAGUGAUUUUUGCGGAUCACAUGAGCCAGGGUUUCGCACCGCCCGGCUCAAAGUUUUUUAGAGAUGUUCUAAAUUUCUUCGAUUUACGGCCUCAAGACAUAGGACCCAACUCAGUGUCCAACAUCUGCAAUUUCCAAGUCUUCUGCGAGGUUUAUCUUGGAGAAGAGCCUAGUCUGCUGCUCUUCAGAGAGCUUUUUUUACUUAAACCGUCAGAAUGAGUGCGCCAAUGGGAGUUAGGUGGCAUCUCCAUCCAGCGGCGUAGGGACUGCCUUUUCCCUUACACAGAGCCGCCGAGCCACCCAAAGGACUGGAACAUGACUUGGUUCUAUUGCCAAGAUACAUCACCGGCUGAUGAAAGUCCGCUGCCCAGCUUUCGCCCAUCACGUCUGGAGUCAACACACCCACUGUCAGACAAACUGACUCCGGCGAAGCGCCAGCCUCUGCUCCCAACCAUCAACAAGAUCAAGGCUCUCCAGGGAAUGGUCUGAAUGGAAUCGAUCUGGUCCGGGUCUGGAUCUCAUGGCGGGUGAUCCCAUUGAGCUGCCGCCCCGGCUUAAUGUGUGAGUAUACGGGCCGCAAGGACGACCCUCAGAGACACAGCCGCAACGAUCUUCCUGAAGACGUUGCAGAGGAGAUGACCAAGGCUCUCUUAAACGAGAGCCUGGCAGACUGUGGAAGGACCAGGUUAGCCCCCUUCUGCAAGACCAACCCAGCCCCAGCGGUAAGCCGCCAAUCUGAACAUCCUAUCUUCUUCUGUAUAUAACUCUCAUCUGAAUCGUUUAAAGAAAUCACCAUUGUAUUUUUCAGGCUGACGACAAGUUCUGGCGGGUCAAAUAUGACCAUGAGGCGGCCAAGAAGGCCAGAAAGGUGAAGAAAGCCGCCAAGAAAGCCGCCCCUCGCAGGAAAGGAAGCAGGCCUACUGCUUCAGAGCUGAUGCAAUUAAGCGACAGCUCCGAGUCAGAGGUAACCCCUGAGCCUUUAAGUCCUUGCUGUAUUUGUUGUUUGUUGUUGUCCGCCUUAUCAAUACUUGCUCAUUGACAGGAUGACACCGGCGCAAGUAACCCGGUGGUUGAAGAGGUAAUGUCACUUUCCUCCGACUCGGAGCCCUUGCCAAGGCUGAAAGUCCGAAGGGUAACCCGGAAAGUAAGCUUUUCACAUCCCUUAGCUUAUCAAGAUCCUCAAUUUAUUUUGAAGCAACAGGUUCAUGAGAGCCGGCGUCACACCCGGACCAACAAGGACACCGACCUCUCCGCCGGGUUACCUGACACAUCAAGGAAGCGCCGAACUGAGGUUACUUCCCACUUGUACCCUUUUCACCCGUUGGCGGGUGUUAUCCGUCAACCACUCAACUCUUCUGACUCCAAUUAUCAGGAGACCUCCCCCUCUUCGGGCGACUCUAUGCAGUCGAGUCUUCCGGCUUUCAAGACCGCGCCCGGGUAACGAUAAUCACCUCAUGUUGUUCUGAUCUUUACUCAUAUUUUUUGUACUAACCUUUGUUGCUCUUUCAGUGCCCAGGCAAAGCUCACCAAGAGGGUGAAGAAAACCAAGUCGGCCGGAGUGCCGGAUUUGCCUGAGCCGGAGGUGACGGUCCAAGACCCGCCAGCUGCCUCCGCCCCCGAAGCCACCACUCCAAUGGACACGGCGCCUGUAGAAGCUUCUGCUGACCCGGAGGCCUCCGGCUCGGCCCAACCAACAAAUGACCCGGACGUGGUAAUCACCCGGACGGAGUUCGUUGAGCCAGGGAGACCUACCGUACUGGCCAAGUGCUCCGCUAAGGGGGAGUUGCUGCAGCCCCGCCGGGUGAACCUGGACCUCUCCGACUACACCAACCUGAGCAUUGGAGAGCUCGUCUCUGGCUACAUCAGCCAAGUGCACAAGAGCCGGGACGCCGAGGUUGCCAUGGUGACCCAGAUCCAGCAGAAGUCUGAGGUAACAUCCUUUUGUCCUCUUAUUUACUGCUUAGUUACCUGUACCAUGCUAGCCCCCAAGUCGACGACUUAUGACUGAGGAUGUUGUAGACUUAGGUUCCGGCUUACUCCAUUUGAACCGGCAAUAUGUAGAUAGAAAACGUUCAAUAUGCAUUAGCCCCCAAGUGCCAAGUGUCUUUGCUUGGAAAACGCUUGGGACUUUAAAUUUGUAGAGUAAUUGUUCAUGCCAUAACCCGGAAAUUUAUACAGGCUGCUGGCAAGAAGCUGGAGACUGACCUUGCUGAUCUCAUGAGCCGGCUAAAGAUGCAAGAAAUGGAGACCCGGAAGGCAAACGCCAAGUUUGUAUCCAGCAUCGCCGCUCAAGAGAAGCUGAAGACAGAAUUUGAUGCUGAGCGGAAAGCCUGGGCCGAAGAGAAGGCCGCAUUGGUAACCCGGGCUGAACAGGCGGAGAAGACUCUCUCCGAGAAAACCGCUGAGCUCUCCGGCCUAAAGCGCCAGGUUUCCCAGAUGGUGGCCGCCAUCUUCGGUAAGUCGCCUCACCGGCUUUCAUCAAGUUUAAAAUGUUUAUAUCUCAUAACUCAUCCUUGUCGCCGGCUUGUCUGAUUCUGUUAAACAGGUCCCAGAAGUGCCAACCUCAACCAGAGCGUGGUCACCAAGCUGAAGGCCGUGUAUACCCUGGUGGAGCAGCUCUACACCGGGUCACAGCGUGCCUUAGCUGUGGUGGCCCUAUCCAACGAGGUGCCGACUCACCUGGCAGAAGUCCUGCGCCGGCUCGCCGUUCUGCCUCAGCGGAUCCAAGAGCUGCGACGGGCCUCUGCGAGAGCCGGAGCGAUCGCCGCGCUGAGCCGGGCCAAGGCAUUCCUGCCGGAGUUAGACCCGGCGGACAUCGCCCUUGGCAAUCCAAGCCUGAAGGAAGACGGCUCAGCUUUCGAUCAGAAGGACUUCGCAGCUUGCGUGAAGGCUGUACGCCCGGUGGCCACCCUUAUCGGGAACGACACAGAUCUAACCAAGUACCAGCCGGGUUACAACGCGGAGAAUCAGAGGAUUCCAACCCCUCGCUAUGAAGCCCUCACCUUGAUCCCGCCGGCUCGUCAGCACACUUUCGCCCCGGAGAUUGACCCGGCCGGGUUAAUUGACGAGGAAGCCCAAUUCAAAGCUCUCAGUGGCAUCGACUGGAAGUCAUCAACUUUCCAGGUCUUGGGAUCAGCCGGAGGAGAGGAUAGGAACGAGCCGGAGACUUCAACUCAGCAAGCAUCAUAACUCGGCUGGCGGUUUACCAAACAAUGCUCCACCCUUUUAGACUUGAUGAGUUUUGUAAUAGAGUAGGUACAACAGUUUAUCUCUGCCGUGCCAUCGUGCACGUAUUGAAUGUUAAAGUCUUUUGAAGUUGUCUCUUUGAUAUUUCUCCGGGUCAUAAUCAAUCCUUUGUUUUUUCUUAACCUCAAAAGAGGUGCCUUUAAUUAUCCUGCAUAAAAGGGCAAAUCACAAGUCUCGAGGCGGCUUACCGUCCUGAGAAUCAUAAAUUUUAGAUAACCCGGAAUAUGAAUCAAAAAGGACUUGUCUUCAAUGAUAUCCUGAAUACAACCGUAAGAACAUACUUAACGGCCUGCAAGCAUACUUCCGGUUUAGAUAAUCCGGAUGAGAAAGUUGGUACCGCAACUCCGGUUUACCUGCCUUAUAACACCCAUUGCGUUUAGCAAUACUGUAAACCAAAGUUAAGCCGGCAAAGUGAAACCCGGCUGUACACACCUUGACAUAAUCAAAGAAAACUUGUGAUAAAGCAGAAAAACUUAGGGGCUUCCGGUUCGAAUACGACCAGAGACCUGGCCCAAAGGGGUUAAGCUAAGAUUCGGAUACGAUCACAUAGCCCCCAGUGGGUGUGGCGAUGCCAAUCAAGAGGGUACCGACAGCUAUGUUCUCUUUGGUUCGAAUACGACCCAUGUUUGAACAGGAAGCCCCCAAGUGAUUUUAAGAAUUGUUUAACGACGCUGAUUCGAAUACGAUCCACGUCGGUUCUCAGAGGGGUUAAACGAUGAUUCAAAUAUGACCAAAGGUAACCUCCCAAUGAGCUCGGCACUUUGCCAAUCAAAUGGGUAUCGACAGCUAUGUUCUCUUUGGUUCGAAUACGACCCAUGUUUGAACAGGAAGCCCCCAAGUGACUUUAUUGCUUACGGCUAAAUUCGAAUACGAUCAUAAGCCGGAUCCUCCUUUAAGUCAUCAUGUAAUCUUGCAAAAAUAACACACGCAUAUUUGGAGGAGAAAAAAGGACAGAGGUCCUGCUUUAUUGCUUAUCAUAAUAUAUACAGGGCUGAGAGAAAUAUGUACACCACGAGAGCCGGUGGCUCAAGUGUAGUAAGGCCGAAGCUGAGCUAUGUUCCACAGCCGACGGGUCUCUUCCUCCGACUUACGUGAAUCUUUAUGCUCCCGAAUGUCAAUGAGGUAAUAUGACCCGUUGUGCAAGUUCUUGCUGACCACAAAGGGCCCUUCCCAAGGCGGGGAUAACUUGUGUACAUCUGUUUGAUCCUGGAUGAGCCGGAGCACGAGAUCGCCUUCCUGGAAGACUCGGGAUUUGACCCGGCGGCUAUGAUAACGGCGCAGGUCUUGUUGGUAAAUCGCUGAACGGGCUGCUGCCACAUCACGCUGUUCGUCCAACAAGUCAAGAGCAUCUUGGCGCGCCUGUUCAUUAUCCGUCUCAACAUAAGCCGCCACUCGAGGUGAGUCAUGACGGAUGUCACUGGGAAGGACUGCUUCUGCCCCAUAAACCAUAAAGAAAGGCGUGAAGCCUGUAGACCUGUUAGGAGUAGUGUUGAUGCUCCACAACACGGAGGGCAACUCCUCCACCCAACAACCCGGCGUCCGUUGCAAAGGGACCAAAAGCCGGGGCUUGAUUCCCUUCAGAAUCUCCUGAUUAGCUCUCUCGGCUUGACCAUUGGAUUGAGGAUGAGCCACUGAGGAAACAUCAAGUCGGAUAUGCUCUCGUUGACAAAACUCUUCCAUGGCGCAUUUGGAGAGAUUGGUGCCGUUGUCAGUUAUAAUGCUGUGCGGAAAGCCAAAGCGGAAAAUCACCUUUUUCAUAAAUUGAACCGCCGUGGCUGCAUCGCACUUGCUAACUGGCUCAGCUUCCACCCACUUUGUGAACUUGUCAACUGCCACCAAAAGGUGGGUCUUCUUAUCCUUGGACCUUUUGAAAGGCCCAACCAUAUCAAGCCCCCAGACCGCAAAGGGCCAAGUGAUUGGGAUCAUCCUCAGCUCCUGAGCCGGCACAUGAGCCCGUCAAAGUGGAUAGUCCAAUAUGUGUUAUCCGGCUUCUGCUCGGGCACUUGUGACUCUGUCCAAUCAUUGAUGAAAUCCACCAAGGCCUGAGAUUUAACAGCAGUGCGUGGCACGUACUUGAGACCAUGAGGCCCAAGCUCUAUAGCCCACUUAGCUACUCUCCCUGUGGCCUCUCUGUUUUGAAUGAUAUCACCAAGAGAGGCAGAACUGACCACAGUGAUGGGAUGACCCUGAAAAUAAUGCUUAAGUUUCCGGCUUGCCAUGAACACACCAUAAACAAGCUUCUGCCAAUGCGGAUAUCGCUGCUUGGACUCAAUGAGCACUUCGCUGACAUAAUAAACCGGCCGCUGAACCGGAUGCUCCUUACCCUCCUCCUUGCGCUCCACCACCAUAGCCACACUGACGGCUCGUGUGUUCGCCGCCACAUAUAAUAAUAAGGGCUCCUUAUCAACCGGAGCAGCAAGGACUGGAGGCUCUGCCAGCUGCUUCUUCAAAUCCUCAAAGGCAGUAUCAGCCGCAUCAUUCCAGACAAAGUUAUCAGUUUUCUUCAUCAACUGAUAUAAAGGCAUGGCCUUCUCACCCAAACGGCUUAUGAACCGGCUUAAAGCAGCGAUGCGACCCUCCAAGCGCUGAACGUCAUUUAUACACGCCGGCUUAGCUAGGGAGGUGAUGGCCUUGAUCUUCUCCGGGUUAGCUUCAAUGCCUCUGUCAGAAACCAAAAAACCCAAGAGUUUGCCUGCAGGAACACCAAAAACACACUUCGCUGGGUUAAGCAUCAUCUUGUAGACCCGGAGGUUAUCAAAGGUCUCCCUUAAAUCAUCUAUCAGGGUGUCCUCUUUUAUGGACUUAACCACAAUAUCGUCCACAUAAGCGUGAACAUUGCGCCCAAUCUGUUUAUGAAGACAGUUCUGUACACAACGCUGGUAAGUCGCCUGUGCACACUUGAGUCCAAAGGGCAUAGACACAUAGCAGAAGGCUCCAAAGGGAGUGAUGAACGCCAUCUUCUCCUGGUCCUUAACUGCCAUCUUAAUCUGAUGAUAUCCAGAAUAAGCAUCCAAGAAACUUAAACGUGCACAACCUGCCGUAGCAUCAAUGAUUUGAUCAAUACAGGGGAGGGCAAAAGGAUCAGGCGGACACGCCUUGUUUAAGUCCGUGUAGUCCACACACAUCCGCCAGGUGCCGUUCUUCUUGAGUACGAGCACCGGGUUAGCCAACCACUCUGGGUGAAAAACUUCAACAAUAAACCCGGCCGCCAAGAGCCGGGCCACCUCUUCACCAAUGGCCUUCCGCCUCUCUUCAUUAAACCGCCGAAGGAACUGCCUGACCGGCUUAAAUUUCGGAUCAGCGUUGAGAGUGUGCUCAGCGAGUUCUCUAGGUACACCUGGCAUGUCAGAAGGUUUCCAUGCAAAGAUGUCCCUAUUCUCAUGGAUGAACUCGAUGAGCGCGCCUUCCUAUUUUGGAUCCAGAUUGGCACUGAUGCUAAAUUGCUGAGAUGAGUCUCCUGGAACGAAAUCAACAAGUUUAGUCUCAUCAGCUGACUUAAAUUUCAUCGCCGGCUCCUGCUCCGUAGUCGGCUUUUUCAGAGAGGUCAUAUCAGUUGGGUCAACAUUGUCCUUGUAAAACUUCAACUCCUUUGUUGCACAAACAGAUUCUGCAUAAGCUGCAUCGCCUUCCUCACACUCCAGGGCCACUUUCCGGCUGCCGUGAACCGUAAUGGUCCCGUUAUGACCCGGCAUCUUGAGCUGUAAGUACACAUAACACGGCCGAGCCAUGAACUUGGCGUAAGCCGGCCGCCCAAAUAUAGCAUGGUACGGGCUUCUUAUCUUAACCACCUCAAAGGUCAAUUUCUCCACCUUGUAGUUGUUCUCAUCUCCAAAGGCUACUUCCAAUUCGAUCUUGCCGACUGGAUAAGCUGACUUACCAGGUACCACACCAUGGAAGAUAGUGUUUGACUGGCUGAGGUUUUUAUCAACCAACCCCAUACGGCGGAAAGUCUCAUAAUAGAGGAUGUUGAUGCUGCUGCCUCCAUCCAUGAGCACCUUUGUGAACUUAUAUCCUCCCACUUGAGGAGCCACCACCAGGGCCAAGUGACCCAAAUUAUCCACCCGUGGAGGGUGAUCCUCCCUGCUCCACACUAUAGGCUGCUCAGACCACCGCAAGUAGCGUGGGACCGCCGGCUCAACAGCAUUCACUGCCCUCUUAUGAAGCUUCUGAUCUCGCUUACACAGACUGGUGGUAAACACAUGAUACUGUCCACUGCUAAGAUGCUUUGGAUUGGUCUGAUAACCCCCCUGCUGCUGCUGAUGACCCUGGCCAGGCUGCUGAUUAAAGCCCCCUUGACCGUUCUGAGGACCGGAAUUUGAGCCACCGCCCGGGCCAUGAAAACCGCCGGCGCCUGAGCCGCCGCCCGGGCCAUUGUAAUUCUUAAAGGCCUUCAUGAUUGCACAAUCCUUCCACAGAUGAGUCGCUGGCUUCUCUCUAGAGCCAUGCCUUGGACAAGGUUCAUUCAACAGCUGCUCCAGCGUCGGACCUGACCCGCCGCCUCGGGGAGGGGGCCUCCCCUUGCGUCGCUGGUUAUUACCUUGUGAGCUGGCGUUGGCUACAAACUCUAGGCUGCCAUCAGCCUUGCGCUUGCCUCCUCCUUGGUUUCCCGGGUUAAACUGAGGACCCUUGCCAUUGCCGUUCUUCUUUCCCUUCCCUGUCCUUUCAUCAUCUGAAGGGGGAUCCUUGGUACCAUCAGAAUCGGCGUACUUGACAAGAGCCGCCAUUAGUGUACCCAUAUCACUGCAGUCGCGCUUAAGCCGCCCGAGUUUCAUCUUCAGGGGCACAAAACGACAAUUCUGCUCCAGCAUUAAAACCGCUGAGCCGGCAUCCAUCUUGUCUGACGAGUGUAUGAUCUCCUUAACCCGGCGAACCCAAUGGGUCAUAGACUCACCCUCCUGCUGCUUACAGUUAGUCAAAUCCACAAUUGACAUAGACUUCCUACAGGUAUCUUUGAAGUUUUGGAUGAACCGGGCUUUCAGCUCAGCCCAAGACCCAAUGGAAUUCGGUGGUAGCCCUUUCAACCAAGUGCGGGCAGUUCCAUCUAACAUCAUGGUGAAAUACUUAGCCAUGGCCGCCUCACUAACCUCCAGCAGCUCCAUAGCCAUCUCAUAACUCUCGAUCCAGGCCGCAGGCUGUAAGUCUGCUGUGUAAUUAGGCACCUUCCUAGGGCCUUUGAAGUCCUUGGGUAGACGCUCAUUGCGGAUAGCUGGUACUAAACAAGGGACACCCCCAGUCCUGGUGGGGAUACCCACGUCGACGGAAGUCGUCGGAUAAGCCGGGGGGGUCUGGUAAGCCGUCAAUUGAGGCACUUGCUCCGCCUCUUGCCGCGCUCUGUCCUGAUCUGCAGCGUGAAAGGCUCCGUUAUAAGCCGGCCCAUGGCCAGGGGGCGGGUCAUGGCGUCGGACGUUACUUGAGCCGGUUGCUGAGACCAUGUGCCGGCUGUAACUCGGGCUCUGGCCCGGACGAGGGGUUGAGUGGAUCCUAUCCCGGCUGUAGGAGUACGCCUCUUGCUGCGCCAGUGCCGUCUGAAGGAGUUCCCUGACCCGGCGGGUUUCAAUAGCCGUCGGAGAGUCGCCGUCAACUGGGAGAGCCGCCAGCCGUGCUGCCGCAGGGACCAUGUUCUCCAGUGGGUUAUUAUAAUGACCCGGGGGUAUUGGCACGUACUGAAGCGGGGCAGGGGGCACCUAGGGAGGCCCCAUCACUCGUGGCUGAAUAGGGGUUCCAGACCCGGGCACUAUGACUUACUAGACCCUGCUCCUGGCGUGUUGAAGAGGUUGCGUGGAUCGUAAACUGGAGGGAGUCGAGAUUGGGCCUUUUGAUGCCUCCUUCUCAUGACCUCAUUGGACGCGUUCUGAUCCAUCGUGAGUUGGAAGGACUGCGCCUGGAUCAACUGAGUUUGGGCAUCGAGAGCCGCCCUCUCUGCAGCCAUCCUGAUCCCUUCCGCCGCAAGCUCCUCCUUAGCUUUCACUAGAUCCAAUUUUAACUGUGCCACCUCCGCAUCAUGCUGAGCCUGAUCCGCCGGGUCAACCGUGGCGGUUAACAGGGUCGUCAUCUUGUCCGUGAGAUCCAUCAGCACCUGAGCCGGAGAAGGCACCGGGUUUCCCGCUCCAGCAGCGGGGUUCUGAACAGGCUGCGCGCUAGCCAUAAAGACUCCAACCUGACUUGGCGGCUCAAACGGGUCCGGAAUACUGUCACCGUCGGAACAACCCAUGAGCCUGCCAUCUUGAAGCUGAUACAACGAGUUUGACUCAUCGGUGGCCGACUCGCCGUCAGAGCCGGCGGCCACCUCAUCACCGGACCCAGAUGGAUCAGAGGGCCCUCCAUGGAUACAUCCCACAAAAGCGCGCCUUACGGCAGGCCGGGCCCGGGCGGGUCGCGCACGCUGAGCCGUCUCGACGAGAUCGGCGCAGAGACCCGGCUCAGGGCCCGGCUCACCAAUCUUGCCAAUGAAAACAUGAAUCCCGCCGAAGGGGACCCGGUACCCGUACUCAAUUGAGCCGGCGUCGGGGCCCCAGUCUGCAUCGUCGAUGUAGAGCUUGCCGCGACGACUCUUGGUCAUCCGGCCCACAACGUAUCCCUUGAGCCCUUCGAAGCUGCCCUUCAAGAACUCAAAUCCACCAUGCGCUGUCCCCACGGUGGGCGCCAACUGUCGUGGAAUUGUCACGGCAGAUGUCCUUGAGUUAGGACUUAGUCGUGGAGCCAUCGCAACUAGGAAGCUUGAAGGGGUUAAUGCGGGACAAGGAACAUGAGGGUUUAUACUGGUUCGGCCCCUUACGGUGAAGGUAAAAGCCUACGUCCAGUUUGAUGUGGUAUUGAUUAGGGUUUCGAUAACCAGGGAGCUAAACUGCUAUGCCCGGCUCUCGAUGAGAUUGUUGUCGCCCUUAAACUGCUGCCGGGUCGUCCCUUUAUAUAGGGAGGCUGACGCCCUGCAGCUCUCAGAGUCCCGGCCGGCUCAUAAGAGUGUCCGGCUCGGACUCUCAACUAUUCUUGCCUUACACUACAAGUUCUACCAUAAUAAUGAUUGUAACUACGGGCCUUAAGCCAUAUCCGGGUCUUAAGCCCAUCUUUGGCCCACCGUCUUUAAGCUUGGCGCCGGGCUUCUGGCAAUGACCAUAUGAGUAACCCGGCCCCUCCUGGCGGGUGACUCUAAGGUCUAUAUCCUCAACAGUACCCAUACAUAUUUUCGGGCCGUAUGCAGUGUAUACGGGGUCUUUUGAUCGACCACGUCUCCCUUGUGCGGUUUUUUGUGAUGCCACAGAUAUCUGUGGUCUCCCCGAGUGUAUAUAUAUCAUCCCUUUGACCGAUAAUGAGGGGUAUGGGUUGGCCAUGAAUGGAUUCCUCCUAGUUCAUGUUAGGGACGGUCACCGUCAAAUGUUGGUCAACCAAAGCUCGAGCUCAUGCGUUGUCAGGAUUCCCUCCCAGAUGCUCGGAUUGCUGGGUUCUACCUACAUCAAACCCUGCAUACGUAUCUCGUCCUUAACUACCUUGCCUUCAUGGUUGUUGUUUUUUGAAUAUUUACUGUGAGGCAAAGCCCCACAGUGCCUUCAUGGUUGUUGUCUGUAUCGAGAGGUAGGCACCACAUCUAAAUUGUACAUUAUUCUAUUGAAAACACACAUCACCCCUUCCCAACGUACAUCAUUUUGGGCCGCAUGCAAGAGGUGUUGGUUUUGUGGUCCCUCUCGUGCGAUGUUUAUGAUGGUUCAAUCUAUUGGCCCAAGCGGUUUAUCGACAACAACAACUGUCAUUUGACCAAACGAAAGAUUCAUUGGUCCGUCUUAUGGUAGGUCAUGGCGACAUGCAUGUAUGACCAAAGUAUCGAUCAUUACGUGCAUCUGCCCCGCUGACACGAAGUGGGAGGUGGUGGGCCAAGCAUCCUAGCUAGGUACGACAUUAUGUCAUUAUAUAUAUCCUAGCUAGGUGGUUGUUAGGAUGCCUUCGGGUUUGCGAGGCAGGUGCCACCAAAGUUAUGCAUUGUGUAUUUAAAGUUUUUAAACAUCCCCAAUAUUCGUACAUAUAUUUGGCCACUUCCAAGUGGUUCUUGACUUCUGGCCCCUGUCAUCGAUCUUCAAUGACGCGCCCAACCGUGGGCCCACGGGGUCAAAGUUGUGCAUUGGAAUUUUGAACAUCACAUACCACCCUUUUCACUCAUAUAUAUUUGGGCCACAUGCUGGUGUGGCUGUCUUUUGACCCUCCCUAAUGUUAUUUUUUGCUGCAAAGACUUUGAUGAUCCUCAACGGACACGGGGUAUAAUAUCUAAACCGUGUGCGAUACAAGUACGAUGUGAAUCACCACGACCGCGCAAGCGCGAGCAAAUUAAGGUGGAGGUACUGGCUCAACCGUGUGCGAUGCAAGUGCGCUGAAAUCACCACGACCGUGCACGCGAGCUAAGGGUGGAGGUACUGGCUCAACCGUGUGCGAUGCAAGUGCGCUGAAAUCACCACGACCGCGCAAGCACGAGCAAAGGGUGGAGGUACUGGCUUAACCGUGUGUGAUUCAAGUGCGCUGUAAAACCACCACCUGUGGAAGCUAAAGGCGGGUAAGUUUAUUUGGAAACUAGGACGAACCAUGUGCGAUAGACCAGCUAGCUAGAAAUAUAAAAAACAAACUACCCGCCUUGAGCGUUGCAAAAAUCGGCGGAUCCGCGCCACUUUUCCUUAUUAUCAUACACGCAUAUUGUUAUUGGACCGUGCGCGGUCUUGGGCACUCCCGCCCGGCAUCAAUUCCUUUACCCAAAUUUUAGUAGCCUUCGUACUUCAACCGUCGCCCACACUCCUCCAGCAUCGACCUUAUAGUAAAAUUGCAGUAGCCGAGGCAUUUGAACCGUCGCGCUCCCUCAUCCACCACCAUCUCCACCCACCAUUACUAAAAAUUUCAGUAGCUGCGGCGUAUCCUCAAACACCCCCCUCCACAUCCCCCACCCGCCACCUCCCCCCUUCGAACCCUAGCUCGCGACCGCCGCCAACCCUGCCGGUCUGCCCGUUCCUCCUAGCUUAGAUAAUAAAGUUCAGGUUAUCCAGCGAUUCCCAUACCGUCGCCCCACUCCCCUGAGUUUUUAGAAGAGGCAUGCGGUGUCCCUUCCUGCCAGAUCCACAUCCCCAGCUCCAGAAUGUCGCAGCCUAAGCUCGGCCACGUAUCCCGGGGAGCCCGACGAGCGUUCGGCCAAGAAGAGGUUUAUCAUGGCCUCUCCGGCGGACGUUGACGAGGUGGCCGUCGUUCGCCCCGACCUGUCGAUCCCAGAGCAACACGUCGCUGUGGAAGCCGGCGAAGACGUUAACUACGUCGCCAUGCCGAAGGCUUCAUGUCAGCGGGCUAGCGUAUUACUGUAUCUCGGGAAAGUUGGCUACGACAUCAAGCUCAUCCACACCGACGGCUUCACGUGGGCCAUGUCACAGGUUAAGUGGUCCAUCCCCAACCCCUCUAGUUCAACCGCCGUUCAUCUCUUCAACGGCCCUGCCGCUGAUCUCCUCCGCUAAGCGGUCAAGGAUUUGCGAGCUUUAUACGCCAUCGAGCCCAUUUUGUCACUUCUGAAGGACACGUUCUACGGCGGCGGCUUGGGAUCCUCAAUUGCCAAGUCAGAUCUCAUCGACCACGACCACGACCACGACCACGAGGAGGGCACCCACGAAGGUUCUUCCAAGGUGAAACAUCCCAUCUGUGACAUCAGAGAGCGCACCAUGGGUCUGUGCUCUUCCAACUGGAAGGAUCCCGUCCAUGAAAUGUGAGGCAACAUUCUAUCAGCAAAUAUUACCUUUUCUAGCUUGCCAACCCGUACCCUUUGUUGUAGUAGCAUUUGUCAUGUGGUGCUUUAACUGUGCCAUGUUUAAUUAUUCCAGUUAUGCAAAAAUGUAUUGUUCAAUAGGUCUAUGUGAUGUUUAAGUAUGAAUUGUCCACUUUAGUUUCACGAAUGGCUAUAUUUGGUUGUUUAUAGUGAGUAGAUGCCUUGUUUAUCUGUAUUUGGUUGUUAGGUUGGUUGGAGUGAUAUUUUUUUUCAGUUAUCGAGCAGAUGCCUUGUUUAUCUGUAUUUGGUUCUUAGUUUGGUUGCAGUGAGUAUUUGUCCAGUUAUCAAGCAGAUGCCUUGUUUAUCUAUAUUUGGUUGUUAGGUUGCUUUUUUAGCAUUUGUCUAGUUAUCAAGCAGAUGCCUUGUUUAUCUGUAUUUGGUUGUUAGGUUGCUUUUUUUAGCAUUUCCCCAGUUAUCAAGCAGAUGCCUUGUUUAUCUUUAUCUGCUUGUUAGGUUGGUUGCAGUGAGCAUUUGUCCAGUUUUCAAGCAUAUGCCCUGUUUAUCUGCAUUUACUUGUUAGGUUGGUUGCAGUGAGACUCUGUCCAAUUUUCAAUGGCUCUACUUGGUUGUUAUACUGGUCAUUUAUGCCUUGUUUAUUUUAGUCAUUCACAAUGUGUGGUUCAUUAUGUGCAAGUCGGAACUGUGCCGCUCGACUACAUCAAUACCAGUUUGAACGGCUAUAUUUGGUUUCAGUUAUUCCUGGUGUAGUUAACACAUGCCCUUUAUUUCAGUUUUACACAUUUAUCUAGUGUGAUGUUUAAGCAUUACCUACGUUCUAUUCAUUUUCAACAAUAACAAUUUGAAUUGCAAUAUUUGAUGGCUGUUAAGCCUGCUGUCGGUAACAUUGCCUUCCAUUUUAUAUCUGCUUUAACAGCAUGCUGAAAGCAACACAUUCAAGCUGUCAUUUGGAGAUGAUGUUGUUUACCUUUGCUAUAUUUGUUUGAUGUUAAGAUUGCUGUACUUAUCAUGCCUUUCCAUUACUUAUGCAGGACAACAACGGGAGUGGCCACCAUUUUCCGCCGAGGUUAGCUUCAUCCCUCGGCUUGUACUCCCCCCGUCGUUCUAUAAUGUAGUGCAUAUAGAUCCAGGCCUGGACACUAGUUAGCUUCUAAUAUUGACUUGUUGCUUGUAGGUACAUAUGCCCUUGGCAAGGAUCCACGCAUCGACCCUUUUUGCGUAUGGGGCAAUGAGAUAUUGAUGAACAAGCAUCAAGUGAGGAAACUGAUAAGGAUUAUUAGCAAAAGGAUACGAAUGGUGGCAAGCAAAUUAUUUGUUUAUGCUCUAUCCAACACAACAGUGAGCUGUAGGAUGGUAACUACAAACUCUGCAGCCUUCUCUUUUUACUACCCAUAAUGAGUUGUUAGACAGCAAUGUCUGAAUCUUUUUCGUUCCCAGUGGUUCUCGAAGCAGUUCACUCAAGAUUACUUCGCAAAGUACAUGAUUGGUGGACACGCAAUGAAGGUUAAAGUAUUUCAUCCAGACUACAAUGAGCAUCGAGAAGUCCUAAUGAAGACAAUGAAGGAAGGACGGGCAGCCAUCACAAGGGGUUGGCCUAGAGUCGUGCGCGCCUUGCGCAUGGAGGAGGGCACAAUAUGGGCAUUCCGCUUCACCUUCUCGAGCAACCAGAAUGUCUUUCGCCUCUCUCUUUACAGUCUUUAGUACAACUUUGGUUCAUCAUUCUUUACUUGGUGCUUCUGUAGUUCUUCAGUAUAUGUACCAGUGCAUUGAAUUAUGGAUUCGUGGUUGAACCUAUAUUUGUAAUAAACAUGGUUGGAUAUGAAAUAAGUGAUUGCCUACUUUCAAAUUCAUAACAUGUGAUUUUUAAAUUAGGGAUUAAUUGGAUUAAUUAUGGAUUAAAUAGGGAUUACACUGCACACGCUUUGCGAAAGCGAAACGUCUGCGAUAUACGUGGAGAUCAGAAACGUUUCUAGGAUCCACUACGUGUGCGAUCAAUCCCCACUCCACACACGACCUUCUCUUGAAAACUGUUUGCGUUAGGCCACCUUGCGCAAAUGUUUAUCACAUAAAAAGUGUGUGUGAUGGACAGCCUUUGCCACACAGUUUCUUUCUACGCACCGUGUGUGAUGCAUUCAAUAACGCAAACGAUAAAAUUAUUAAUAUCGUGUGCAAUGGCAAUGCUAUCACAAACGAUUUAACAGGAAAAAUUGUGUGUGAUGUACCUGUGAACAGAAACGUUUUCCUUGGAGCAACUGUGUGGGAUGUACAUACGAACGGAAACGUUUAGCCGGGACUGACUGUGUGGGAUGUACUUGCGACCGGAAACAAUUUCGCCGUAUAAAUGUAUUUUUUUAGCUUUAUUGUACGUAUUUCCGUAUUUGAGCGCUCGCCGGUCGCACACGACCUCAUUUUGCCGAACGUGUGUGCCAGGAGGGCAUAUCCCCGACGGUUUCUGGGUCGUGUGGGAAGGGCCCCCCCUAUCGCCCACACUCACUUGGCGACGGUUCCAGAUGCCGUCGCGGAAAGGGGUUAAAAACCAUUUGCUUAGGACCGACGCGCACCAGUGCAUGGCAUGAAUAUUAAGACAUAAGUGAUUCAAAGCAAUAGUCUAUAAUUUGACAUAAAGACAUCAAUACUGAGGCAUCCCAACAAACAAUCAUUUCUUUCAAAAUAUUAACGCUAAAGAAAGCUAUCCCUACAAAAUCAUACAAUCUUGUCAUGCUUUGUCUUCUUAACACAAAGUAUUUAUCAUGCACAACCCCGAUGAUAAGCCGAACAAUUGGUUCAUACUUUUUAACGUGCUUCAUCUUUUUCAACUCUCACGCAAUACAUGAGCGCAAGCCAUGUAUAUAGCACUACGGGUGGAAUAGAGUAAGAUGAUAGGGGUAAAUAUAAAGAAGACACAAAAGUAAGAAAGUCUCACAUCGACGCGGCUAACCAAUGGGCUAUGGAGAUGCCCAUCAAUUGAUAUCAACGUGAGGAGUAGGGAUUGCCAUGCAACGAAUGCACUAAGAGCUAUAAGUGUAUGAAAGCUCAAUAUGAAAACUAAGUGGGUGUGCAUCUGAUCCUAUAAUGAAAAAUUCCCACUAGUAUAUGACAUUGACAACAUAGGAGACUCUCCAUAUGAAAAACAUGGUGCUACUUUGAAGCACAAGUGUGGUAAAGGAUACUAACAAUGCCCCUUCUCUCUUUAUUUAUUUUUUUUCUUUUUUUCUUUAUUUUUUCCUUUUCUUUUUCUCUCAUUGUCCGGAGUCUCAUCCCGACUUGUGGGAGAAUCAUAGUCUCCAUCAUCCUUUCCUCACCGGGGAACUGCUCUAAAAAUGAAUAAUGAUGAUCAUCACACUUCUCUUUACUUAUAACCCAAAAGAAAAAAAAAUUACAACUCGAUACCUAUGAAAAAGUAUGACUCUAUAUGAAUGCCUCUGGCAAUGUACCAGGAUGUGCAAUGAUCUAGCAUAACAUGUAUGAAAAAUGAUGAACAGUGGCUGAGCCACACCUACUAUGUCAGUUAUAUGAUCAUGCAAAGCAAUAUGAGAAUGAAUGCUCAAGUCAUCGAACGGAAGCGGUGGAAGUUGCAUGGCAAUAUAUCUCGGAAUGGCCAUGGAAAAGCCAUAAUAGGUAGGUAUGGUGGCAGUUUUGAGGAAGAUAUAAUAAGGCUUAUGUGUGAUAGAGCGUAUCAUAUCACGGGGUUUGGAUGCACCUGCGAAGUUUGCACCACGUCUCGAUGUGAGAAAGGGCAAUGCACGGUACCGUAGAGGCUAGAAAAUUGCGGAAAGGUGUAACACCCCGGAUGUAACUUUCCAUAUUUGUAACUCCAACUCUUGCCAUUUUCGGCUAUGUGUUAUGAUAUUCCCUUCGUGGUCGGGUUUUGUUUUUCGUUUUGCAUUUUGUUCAUGUCAUGCAUCUCAUAUCAUGGCAUCAUGUGCAUUGCAUUUGCAUACGUGUUCGUCUUUUGCAUCCGAGCAUUUUCCCCGUUGUCCGUUUUGCAAUCCGGCACUCCCACCUCCUCUGGCGCACCCCUCUUGUUUUCUCUUUGUGAGCGGGUGUUGAACGUUCUCGGAAUGGACCGAGUCUUGUCAAGUGGCCUUGGUAUACCACCGGUAGACCACCUGUCAAGUUUCGUUUCAUUUGGAGGUCGUUUGGUACUCCAACGGUUAACCGGGUAACCGCAAAGUCCUUUUGUGUGUUGCAGCAAAAACCCCCUCCAAACAGCCCAAAACCCCUCUAAGUCACCUCCAUGCUCUAGGUCGUUCGAUCACGAUCGUGUGGGCGAAAACCGUGCUCCAUUUGGACUCUCCUAGCUCCCUCUACCUAUAAAACUCCUCCCCCCUCCAAAAUCUCGGGCAAAAACCACCCUAACCCUAGUCCCCUUCCCCUCUCCGCGGCCGGACGCGUUCGCCGCCGCCGGACGAACCAGCGCCGCCGCCCCGUGCCAAUCACAGAGCGCCACGUGUCCCUACGCCGCCGCCCGUNNNNNNNNNNNNNNNNNNNNNNNNNNNNNNNNNNNNNNNNNNNNNNNNNNNNNNNNNNNNNNNNNNNNNNNNNNNNNNNNNNNNNNNNNNNNNNNNNNNNNNNNNNNNNNNNNNNNNNNNNNNNNNNNNNNNNNNNNNNNNNNNNNNNNNNNNNNNNNNNNNNNNNNNNNNNNNNNNNNNNNNNNNNNNNNNNNNNNNNNNNNNNNNNNNNNNNNNNNNNNNNNNNNNNNNNNNNNNNNNNNNNNNNNNNNNNNNNNNNNNNNNNNNNNNNNNNNNNNNNNNNNNNNNNNNNNNNNNNNNNNNNNNNNNNNNNNNNNNNNNNNNNNNNNNNNNCGCCGCCCGCGUCCACGGCGUCGCGCCGCCCGCGACCGCCGUGCUUCCCCGCCGGAUCCGGUCCCCUCCACCCCGGCGGCCUCCUCCCUCUCCCUUCGGCCGAGCUCCAGCUGCCCCGCAAGCUCCGGCGAGCCUCGAGCCCCGAUCCAAUCUAGCACGGUUGACUUUUUCCCCUCUCUCGAUUUUCUCGAAGUCCUAGAAUAUUUACAAUACAUGCUCAUGUUCAUCGCAUCAUAACUCUCUGCAUACUGCUCCGUUUUGCGCGUGUAAUAUAUCGAGAUGUUCGCCUCGAGAUGCUCUUCAUUUUUUUACAUUGCACCAUGUUCAUUUGAGUCCAUCUUGAUGCCCAAAUCUCUGGUGCAAGAGUGCUAGUUGCUGUUAACUGCUGUUACUUAUCAGAACUUGAGGGUUUGUUAUUUUUGUUGCAUUUAAUGUGUGCAUCUUAUGGGCAUGAGCUCUACAUGUGUUUUGAUGUAUGCCAUGUCGUCUUUACAAAGGUGUAUACCAUAUAUUUUGGUGAUCUAUGUGGUGACUAGCACAAGCAUGCAAACUAGGCUUCGUGAUGUUUCUAAUUUCAGACUUAGUAAUUUUACCAAGUCUGUGACUGCUGUUAUUUUGUUGCUAUGUAUCCAUGUGGCUACAGAGAGAUCCAUGCAUACCCUUAUUUGCAAUUAUUUUGGUGAUGUUCAGUAAGGAUGUUUUGUAGAUAUUGUUGUAGUUGAUCCAUGCAUACCCUUAUUUGCAAUUAUGGAGUGCCAUAGCAUGACUCAAGCUUGCUAUACUUUUGCUAUAAAAUAUUUCUGGCAGAUUGUUAACAUGAUAUUCAAUUUUGCCAAGCUUGUUGUAGUUGUUUCAUACAUGCUAUGUACUUGCUCUUGACAUGGAUAGCUUCAUAAACAUGCCAUCUUGCUGUAGGUAUGCUUGUUUUGUUAUGUGUUGCUUUGUGAUGAGUGCAUCAAGCUCACCAACAUGCCUUCAUAUUAUUGUUUCUGCCAUGCUCUGUUUUCUGCUAAGUCUGAAACCUGUUAACGAAACUUGCUAUGUUUACAUGGUUGUCAUCAUAUCUUCGGGCCCUUUUUAGCUUAUGGUCAGUAAGGGACUUUUGUCAUAUGCAUUUAGUAGAUUCCUGCCAUGCCUUGUUUUGCUAUGUUAAGUUCUUGUAGCAUGUUGAUUUCUUGCUCUGAACUUUGCUACCUGAUACUGUUUCAGGCAUGUCCAGUAAUUUCACUAAAAGUCUGUGAACCUGUUAUCUUUUGCACUUUUGCCAUGCUUGUUUGAACCUGCUGUGAUGUGAUCUAGCCGUAGCUCAGUGUCCCUCUUUUGUCAAGCAUCUACUGUAGAUUACUUCCAUAUACUUUUUUGCUAUGUUGGGGGUGCUGUAGCAUAGUUGCUUGUUGCAUUCUAAGUGCUAUCAUGCUGUUAAACGCAGAAUAGAGUCAUUCUUGUUUUGCUUGCCAUUUGCAAACCGUGCAUCCGUUUCCGGUGAUCUUUAUAUCGAUUUCGACCGAAAUCAUCUCAUCUUUCCAGUGGCAUGCUUGGUUUGCCAAGUUACUGCCUUGUUCAUCAUUUUUCUUCCGGAGCACGCAUAUGCAUCGCAUAUCAUAUCUUGCAUAUAAUUCAUGGUUUGCAUCAUGUUGCUUGUGCAUUUCCCGUGAUUGAUUGCGGUUCUGUUGCUUGUGUUCUUGUUUUGGGUAGAGCCGGGAGACGAGUUCGUGAACGAGGAACUUGUUGAGUACGCUUACGAGGAUCAAGCUUUCGACAACUCUGAGAACCUUGCAGGCAAGAUGACCAUACCCUCGAAAUCACUUCUAUCUUUGCUUUGCUAGUUGUUCGUUCUAUUGCCAUGCUGCACUACCUACCACUUGCUAUAUCAUGCCUCCCAUUUUUCCAUGUCAAGCCUCUAACCAUCCUUUCCGAGCAAACCGUUGUUUGGCUAAGUUACCGCUUUUGCUCAGCCCUUCUUAUAGCGUUGCUAGUUGCAGGUGAAGUUGAAAUUGGUUCCAUGUCGGAACAUGGAUAUUUUGGGAUAUCAUAAUAUCUCUUAUUUAAUCAAUGCAUCUAUAUAUUUGGUAAAGGGUGGAAGGCUCGGCCUUAUGCCUGGUGUUUUGUUCCACUCUUGCCGCCCUAGUUUCCGUCAUACCGGUAUUAUGUUCCUUGAGUUUGCGUUCCUUACGCGGUUGGGUGAUUUAUGGGACCCCCUUGACAAUUCGCCUUGAAUAAACUCCUCCAGAGCAAGGCCCAACUUUGGUUUUACCAUUUGCCACCUAAGCCCUUUCCCUUGGGUUUUCGCGAGCCCGAGGGUCAUCUUUAUUUAAACCCCCGGGCCAGUGCUCCUCUGAGUAUUGGCCCAACCUGUCAGUCGCCGGUGGCCACCAGGGGCUCGCCUAUCGGAAGCUUGGACAAUCCGGUGUGCCCUGAGAACGAGAUAUGUGCAGCUCCUAUCGGGAUUUGUCGGCACAUUCGGGUGGCUUUGCUGGUCUUGUUUUACCAUUGUCGAAAUGUCUUGUAAACCGAGAUUCCGAGACUGAUCGGAUCUUCUCGGGAGAAGGUUUAUCCUUCGUUGACCGUGAGAGCUUAUGAUGGGCUAAGUUGGGACACCCCUGCAGGGUAUUAUCUUUCGAAAGCCGUGCCCGCGGUUAUGAGGCAGAUGGGAAUUUGUUAAUGUCCGGUUGUAGAGAACUUGUCACUUGACUUAAUUAAAAUACAUCAACCGUGUGUGUAGCCGUGAUGGUCUCUUCUCGGCGGAGUCCGGGAAGUGAACACGGUUUGAGUUAUGCAUGAACGUAAGUAGUUUCAGGAUCACUUCUUGAUCAUUUCUAGUUUCGCGACCGUUGCGUUGCUUCUCUUCUCGCUCUCAUUUGCGUAUGUUAGCCAUCAUAUAUGCUUAGUGCUUGCUGCAGCUCCACCUCAUUACACCAUCCUUUCCUAUAAGCUUAAAUAGUCUUGAUCUCGCGGGUGUGAGAUUGCUGAGUCCUCGUGACUCACAGAUUCUACCAAAACAGUUGCAGGUGCCGACGAUGCCAGUGCAGAUGACGCAACCGAGCUCAAGUGGGAGUUCGAUGAGGAACGUGGUCGUUACUAUGUUUCUUUUCCUGAUGAUCAGUAGUGGAGCCCAGUUGGGACGAUCGGGGAUCUAGCAUUUGGGGUUAUCUUAUUUUCAUUUGGAUUUGACCGUAGUCGGUCUAUGUGUGGAUUUUGGAUGAUGUAUGAAUUAUAUUUAUUUAUUGUGUGAAGUGGCGAUUGUAAGCCAACUCUCGUUAUCCCAUUCUUGUUCGUUACAUGGGAUUGUGUGAAGAUGACCCUUCUUGCGACAAAACCACAAUGCGGUUAUGCCUCUAAGUCGUGCCUCGACACGUGGGAGAUAUAGCCGCAUCGUGGGCGUUACAAAAGGUAAGAGAGUGUAUAAUCCAUGGACUCACAUUAGUCAUAAAGAACUCAUAUACUUAUUGCAAAAGUUUAUUAGCCCUCGAAGCAAAGUACUACUACGCAUGCCCCUAGGGGGAUAGAAUGGUAGGAAAAGACUAUCGCUCGUCCCCGACCGCCACUCAUAAGGAAGACAAUCAAUAAUAAAUCAUACUCCAAAUUCAUAGAAUAACGAGAGACUAUACGUGCAUGCUUCGGGAAUCACAAACCUUAACACCAAUAUUCUUACUAAACACAACCAUUUAAUAGUACCUCCCACAUAUUCCAUCUCUAUAUCGCAAAAGUAUUGCAAGGAAUCAAACAUAUCAUAUUCAGUGAUCCAUAAGUUUUAUGUAGGAUUUUAUAACUAUGCAAUUGACCAAUUCCUUUUGACUCUCUAAAUAGAUAUAAGUGAAGCAUGAGAGUUUAAUUCUUUCUACAAAAGACCAUGCUCUAAUAAAUAUAAGUUUAGCAAAAGAGCAUUCUACAAACAACGGUUUUCUAUGUGAAGAGAAAUAGGCAAUCCAAACUUCAAAUGAUAUAAGUGAAGCGCGUGAAGCAUUCUAUAAAGCCAUACUCAAAAGAUAUAAGUGAAGUGCAAUGAGCAUUCUAUAUAUCAACCACGGACUAUCUCAUACCAGCAUGGUGCAUAAAAGAAAAAUAAAAACUAAACGCAAAAGACACUCCAAGAUUUGCACAUAUCACAUGAACGAAACGAAUCCGAAACCAUACCGAUACUUGUUGAAGAAAGAUGAGAUGCCUUCCGGGGCAUCCCCAAGCUUAGACGCUUGAGUCUCCUUGAAUAUUUACUUGGGGUGCCUUGGGCAUACCCAAGCUUGAGCUCUUGCCUCUCCUCAUUCUCCUCACAUCGAGACCUCCUCGAUCUUCGAACACUUCAUCCACACAAAAUUUAACCAAACUUUUAGUGGCGGGGUUAGUGAAUAUGGCAAUGAAAUCCCAUCAUGUACUGCUGUAACAUUAUUGUAUAAUUAUAAACAAACAUUAUCCACUGUAUGCUAUCACAAUUCUAUGGCCCCAAGUCAAGGAGGCUUCAAUAAGAAUUCAAACAUACGCAAAUAAUGAAGCUAUAACAGCAAUCUGUGAAAACAGGUCAGUGUGUAAAUUCUGAAAAAAUAGGAAAAAUAAACAUUUUGUAUAGAAAGAUAGUACAAAAGGUUUCAGAACCGUUUGAUGUUCCAGUAAAAAAUGUAAAAUCGCGCACUACAGCGAAAGUUUUUGUUUUGCACCGCACAAAACAACAAGCAAUUUAAACAUCCUAAAGGCAAAUCUUGUCACAUUAUUUUUAUGAUACAAUGGAAUUGUGACAAGUAUAUUUUACAUAUAUAAUUCAGCACUCAAAUAUACCAUAUAUUGUGAUUUAUUCAUCCAUUCUUGCUAUGUUUGAUUGAUUGUUUGCUUGAUAAUCAUAAGGGGAACAUUUACUAGUCAUUUGUUUCCUUUGCAGAAAAGUACGCAAAGGCACUAUAAACUUCAUGAUUCCGACUAUGAGACCAAGGGAAAUAAGAAAAGGAGGGACUGAGUAUGAAGAAUUGAAGAUCCGGGGGGGUUGCUAACGAAGAAUGGGGAUCAACUUGUGCAGAAAGAAGAGAAGAGAAGGGCCAUAUAGCAAAAGUGGCAGAUCAGAUUGUGGGAUCAAAUCCCUAGCGGUUGCCUCAUUCCCAAUCGGGCCUGGACAUCUCUCCCUUCCCCAACCUCCUUCUCCACCUCCGGCCGCCGCCACGGCCAGGCCGGCGUGGUGGCGCACCAGCAGCCUCCAUCCACCAGCGCCAUCCAUCACCACAUCACCAGCACCCAGCGCCACCAUCACCUCCAUCGCCGCACCUCGCGCGCCAGAUCAGACUAGUGUCUGAUCCCCCGCGCGCCCUCAACUGCUGCCGCCUCUUCUCUCUUCUGCUCCCUGCUACUUCCUUCCUCUGCUCUCUGCCUGCUGCUGCUUCUUCUUCCCCUCCCUCGCUGCUGCCCUUGUUCCCCUCGCUGCUCCUCCUCCUCCUCAAUCUCUGCUGCUACUUCUCCUUCUUCUUCAACCUGCUACUGCUCGCCCUCAACCCUCUCUGCUGCUUCUCUCACCCGGAUGCCCCUGCUGCUGCUAUUACUCUCAUAGCCAACACUUGCUACUACCCCCUGCUGCUCUUCACUUGCCGAAGCUCUUCUCUGAACCUCUCCUCCUCCUCUCAACGCCCCCUGCUGCUCCAUCUUCUCUCUCAAUGCCUCUUGCUGCUGUCUUCUUCUCUGAACCCAAACUGCUGCUCUUCUCUUCUCUCUUUACUUCUUGCAAAAUUCUGUAAACUGCUAGGUGACCUUGUGUACUGUCCUGAACACCUCAUUUCUGUAAAUUUAAAAUAUGUAAUACUCCCUCCGUCCCAUAAUAAGAGCGUUUUUUACACUAGUGUAGUGUCAAAAACGCUCUUAUAUUAUGGGACGGAGGGAGUACUUUGUAAGGUUCAGAUUUUAGUUCUGUUUCGUACUUGCAGCUAUAGUGCACGUUUAAUGUUUGGUCUAUGUGAUUUUGCUUUCCAAGUUAGUAUUCUGCUAGCAUGUGUGUGUUCACCUUGUGUACUAAUCCCCUGUACUAGUUAUCUUCCAGUACUUGUCCACUUUGUGUGUGUUUAGUUUUCAGUCUCUGUGAUAGCUUCGUCCUGUGACAAAUAUGUUUCCAAUGUGAAACAUAUCCAUUCUGAUAAAUAAAAAAUGAAUAAAUAAAAAAAUAAAAAAGUUAUAGUGCACAAGUUGAUCCCCAUUCUUCUUUAGCAAACCCCCCCUGUCUUUAAUUCUUCAUACUCAGUCCCUCCUCUUCUUAUUUCCCUUGGUUUCAUAGUUGGAAUCAUGAAUUUUAUAGUGCCUUUGUGCACUAUUUUGCAAAAGAAACAAAUGACUAGUAAAUGUCCCUUUUUAUGAUUAUCAAGCAAACAGUCAAUCAUACAUAGCAAGAAUAGAUGAAUAAAUCACAAUAGAUGGUAUAUUUGAGUGCCGAAUUACAUAUGUGAAAUAUACUUGUCAAAUUGUACAAGGGAUAAUUAUUUUUAUUGAAAAUUUUCUGUAAUUAAGAUUCACAAAGUUCCGUGAGCAUGAACAAAGUUCAAGGAGCUCCCCCAUUUCAACAAUGCUUGUCUCUCUCACUUUCACUUUCCUUUUUGAAAAGUUUUGGGUUCCCCUCUAUAUUUUUUUGUUUUUAAACUUUAUAAGAGCACUCAACAGAAAUAAAUGAUUCUCUAAAACUUUCGGGUUGUCUCUGGCAGCGCUUUCUUUAAAGCCAUUAAGCUAGGCAUAAAGUGCUCAAGUAAUUGAUCCACCCGGAUCCCAAGGUGUAUCAAAGCCAAUUUGAAUCAACAAAUGAUUUUUAAUUUAGUAGUGAGCACAAAGCAACAUAAAUCAUGCAAUGACGAAGUCUAACUCUCUUCCUAUGCAUCGGCAUGUCAUACAAGAACAAUUCAUGCACAUCAAGUAAAGGCCAAUGCAUAGCAUAAGUAGUUUCUUGCAAUUUUAUCGUGUUGUUAACAUAAAGAGACGAAGAUGAAGUUUCUCUCUCAUAAUAAUUGCAAGUAGGAGCAGCAAGCGCAUGCAUAUUAUAUUUAUCAAAAUCAUCGUGUGUAGUGGUAGAAUGCAACCCAUCAAUAUAAUCCUUAAUAAGUGCAUACUUUUCCGAUAUAGUGUAGCUUGAAGAAUUUAAAAAGAUAAUAGGACUAUCAUGUGGUGGUGCAAUAGCAACAAUUUUAUUCUUAACAUAUGGAACUAUAGCAAGUUCAUCUCCAUAAGCAUAAUUCAUAUUGGCAUCUUGGCCACAAGCAUAGCAAGCAUCAAUUUCAUCGAAAAGGGAUAUUUCAAAUGAAUCAAUGAGAUCAUAAAAAUUAUCAUAUCAUUCAUCCUUGGGUAAGAACGAAGAGGC
rnacentral:lncRNA from 1 species